rnacentral:lncRNA from 1 species
AACACACAGGGAUUCAGAAUCCUUCAACAAAAUAUCUCCAUUGAUGCAUACUUCACUACCUCAGAACCACUUAAAAAUGCAUUCAGAAUUUAUGAUAUUGCGAACAUCACAUAACAUUAUAAAAUGGACACCAAACAACAAACAAAAGGAAAAGAUGGAAGUGAUGACAUUUAGUGAAACUAGCGUACAACAAACCAGUACUUCACAAUGCCAGGAGGAAACAUGGGGAGCAACAAUGAACUUACUAUCAGGCAGACAACAAUAAUUCCCAACAGCAGAAAAAAUUGAGGGAGGGGGGGGGAAUGAACUAACCUCAAUGACUGCAUUAUACUCUUCUGUUCAUUGAUGAAUCGCUGAUGCUCUUUGAUCAUCAUCUCUAAGUUCUUUAUAGGCAAAGAAGCCCUGGUAUUAAGCAACUCCUCAACUCUGCGCUUAACAUCAUCAAAAAUCUGCUUAAAUUGUGAAACUUUGUUCUCAAACUGCCUGUGAGAAUUGCUGCAAGUCUCUGCCGACUUCCGCAAGUGCUCUUCCUUCACAAAAUCCAAUAGGCACUUGCAAGUAGCUGUCUGUAAACUAGGGUGAAGCUUGACAGACCUCAAUUUCUCGAUAUCCCUUCCAAAGUUUGCUAAAAGAUCAGAAUGAACCCUUUGCUGCUGUGAAUAUCGCUUCAUGAAGUCAUUAUAAUUUUGGUUAAUCACUCUAUAGUAUUGCUCCAAAUUACCCCUGCCAACCUCCACAGCUCUCUCUUGCACCUUUUGCUCCCUCAAAAGCCUUUCACACAUCUCAAUCUUUGCUUGUGUACGAAUAUAUAUAGCAUGACCCCUAUGGUAAUGGUACCUAAAUUGCCUCUCAUAAGAAGGCAAUGCCUUCAAAGCUGGAUCUGGCGCAUCAUCUAAAGGGUGAGGGUCUUGUGACAAAGCUGGUGGUGGUGGGUCUGCAACUUCAAGAACAUCAACUUGCUCAGGAGAGGGAGGUGGCGAAUUACUUUGCAACCUUAGUUUAUUGAAUAUAAAUACUUCUUUAUCAUCAGACGGAAGCCUAUAAGCUGAAAGCAGCUUUUGUGGCUCCAGUUUCAUGUCCAAGCAGAGAACAAGCUGAUCAUUGAAGUUUAUACCAGCAGCAGAUUCAAUGAACCGCAUAACUGCCUCAACAGGUGUGUUCUCAUUGCAAUCAAGCUCAAACGAAUGGCCAUUCUCUGAAAUAUGAACUAAAAGCUUGCCCUCAUGAACCAAAACUUCAGUAAUACUAGAGCUCAUCUUCUCUAUUCUUAUCCUUGGAAAUCAGAACUCUCCACCACAAAUUUUGUAAUUCAAUGAAACCAAACAAUCAAUAUCAGAGGAGAAUUCAAGCCUAUACCCAGAAAAUAUAAUCAAAUUCACCGUUUAAAAGAUAACUCUCAUCAAAAUGUAAACUUCAUAACUUUUUUCCUUUUUUUUUUAAUUUUUACCUUAAUACUUGAUCAAAACCCUUAGUUGUCACCACCCCACUAAAAGAAACCUGCAAAAACAGCCCAAUAUUUACAACACCCACCAAAGAUUGAAGCUUGAAGAGGCCAAUAACAAUCAGCCAACCAACAAGCUCUGUCCGGGGAAAAAAAAAAAAAACUAUUAUCAAACACACCGACCAAAAGGAAUCACACAAUACCCGUCUUGAACCUUAAUCCUUCGAAAAAGCCCAAUCCAACACCAACCCACCAGAAAUUACCUUAAAAAAACGCUAAUCGUUGCCCACCCAUCAAUUAAUUCUUCAAAACCAGUACGAAAACCAAAUUAGCCCCAAAUUUCCAAACCCAGUAAAAAGUUCGAAACCCCAAAUCAAAAAUCCCUAAAAGGUGCUUUUCUUUUUCUUCCUUUUCUUAAGAGAGAAGAAGGUAAUCAAAAGCGAUAACGUGAAGACGUGAAUCUAAUAAGAAUUUCUCAGGGGCUAAAACUCAAAACCUUAUAAGGUUCUCUUCACGAAACCCUUUUAUUUUUCUUUUGUUCUUAUAUCAUAAGUACUUUUGUAACCUACGGCUUCUUAACAAAUAUUUUUUUAAUUUUUUAAUAACAAAAAAUCGACAAAGAAGCUUCCGCAAGAAGUAACAAGAGCUCUGUCUCUUCUUCUUCUCUCUCUAUCUUCUUCAAGCAACAAAGUCCUGCUACUGAAGAGAAAGUUAUUUCAUUCUUAAAUAAUUUUAUUCAAUAUUAUAAUUACUAUCAUACGAAAAUAACAUCGGGGAUCAUUAUUUUUUAUUAUUUUCAAGUAAGGACAUAUCCUUUCCAUUUGUAUCGAAUAAGUCUCUAACCCGUACAGAAAUAACAGAAAUACCCUUUACUAGGAAGUUGCAUGCUCUUAUAAUGUGAUGAUAAAAGGUAAUAUAGAUAAUUUUGAGUUUGCAUGUUGUGUCAAAUAAAGUUAUAUGAACAAUGAUAGAAUUUUAAUGAUUGAUUUACAACUUAAGUUUUAAUUAUUAUGUGUCGUUCAUUUAUUAAAUAAUCAAUUUUAUAAUUGAAAAAAUUAAAUAUUAUAUCAUCGACUAUAUAAACGUCAUAUUAGUUAAGACUCAAUUAUUGAAAUUUUUAUUUUGCUGUUUUAAACUAAAAAAUAAAAAUUUAUUUUUUAUUUAUAUCAAUAACACUGAAUAUUAACAUAAUACGAUUAUUAAACAAUUAUAAUUGCAUCAUACAUUUAACAUCUUCUUAAUAUAUUUUAUAAAAUAUUUACAACACUACCCACUAAGAAUUUAAUACGUUUGCUCCGGUAUAAAAAGAUAAAUUGUAAAAUAUAAAAAAUUAUAAUAGAAACCAAAUGGAUUAUAAAAAUGUCAACAUAUGUUUACUCCAUCACCACCAAUCAAUAUUAUGAUAAGAGACUUUGCAUAUCGAAAAUUCUUCUUCUUUUUUUUUAUAUACAAAAGGAGUAUAGCAAGCACCUAGGGUAUACAAAACGAGGUAUGUAGCCUCUAGACCAUCAUUUAGAAAACUGCUACCCAAGUUAGAAGGGUAAUUUUGGAAUUUGAAAAUGAAUAGAUAUAUCUAUUUGACACUAGUAGUGAAGUUUUGUUCUUUAUGUAAGAAGUUUAAAAAAUAAGGAUCUGUAUGUAAUUAUAGUUCCAUGUUGCAAUUUUCUAUUAGGAGUGUAUUAUGUAUAGUUGUACUUGUAAAAGAAAACAAAUUAAACAACUUAAAUUUAAGUAGGAGUUGCUAACGGAUGUUACCAUGAGGCCUUCAAAAUAUUCGUUUGCUCCGAUUUCUACGGAAGAAAUUGGGUAAAAUUUUUCAAGCAAAAAUAAAUUAAAAAAUUUAGUAAAAGAAUUUUAGAAAAACAUAAAAAUUGAUUAUUUGCUGCCGGAAUCCAUUUGAUUAAUAGAGUCAUUUUAUGCAUUCAUGGAACCUGUUAAUCAGUAAAAAGCAAUAAAGAAUAUUCUUAUAAUAUAAAAAAAUUAUGAUAAUAAAUUAAAAAAAAUGAAAUUGUUCAUACUAAGCUUCAAUAUAUAAUCAUUCUAUUCUCUAAGGUGGACCUACUGUUCGCUAUAUAUGUAAAAAAAAAAAAAAAAAAUUCCUAAUACUAAAGGAUUUUUUCUCAAGUAUAUGACUGAAAUUUCCACUCUAUUUAUGUGAGUGGAAAUCAAAUUGACACUUUUAGAAAUUUUAUUAAUUUGAUAACUAUUCAUGUCCAUCUUAGUAGUAAUUUGAUAACUAAUACGCAUCAAUACAUUUGCUAAAAGUGGCCCAUUUUAAUGGCAAAAUCAUAACACAUGUCAGGUGCCAAUUUUAGUCACUUUAUAUCACAAUCAACGAUCGAUCUAGCAACAAUUAUAUUCAUCAUCACAAUCACACACCGCGCAUGUUGCCAUUAUUCCAUUACCAUUUAUCUCUUAGUUGAUCAUCAUCAACAUUCAAAUUAAUUUAAGAACUGAAACAUCUCUACUCUUGGUUUAAAGUUCUCACACAUAAUUAAUAGAUUUCAAAAUUUUAAUUCAAAUCGAUAAUCCGUUCAUAACUGUGUUGCACUUCACUAAAUACCCUCUUAAACUUGAUAGCUAUAGAUCUCGCAUACAAUUCACUCGAUAUCAAUUUAAUUAGAAUGAUCAAAAUAUUAAAAAUUGUGUUUAGUAAUAUAUAAAAGAAAUUAUAUAAUAGUUAGAUCUCAUAACCGUACGUAGCUAGUUAGUCAUUAAAAGAUCAUUCGGAAUUCCAAUAAGUAAAAACAAAUUAUUAAAUCUUCAAUCAAUCAAUCAAUCAUCAGAAUUAAUUAUGUGUUUUCUUGGCAACUUCCUGCAUGUGCACGAUUAAAAUAGAGACGGAAUUAUGAUCGGUAAAGCUCAGGUGAAAAUGAAAUUGUAAUUUUCUUGGCAACUUCAUCGAUCCGCUGCUUUUGUUGCUCUGCAUGUGCAUGGAAAUUGUUAAAAGUUACUUUCUGCUUUGUUUAAAGCUACAUUUGGCAUUAUUAAAAGAAAAAAAAAUUGACGAUCGGGAUGAAUUUUCUUUUUUAAGGAAAAAAUUUUGUUUAGAGAAAUAAUUUUUCUUUGUUUAAUUAUUUAAAGGAACACAUUUAUUAAAUUUAUCUACAAAUUCGACAUCCACUCUUUGACCAAGUGGUUGUCACCUCUAAUCUACAUCAGUCCCUUUUCUCCCCAUUAGAAUAGAUUUUCACAUUAGCUUUUUCAUUUCUAUGUAAGUUAAUGGGCUAACUAAACUUUUUUGUCCUAUAAUUCAUUCUUCGGUGAUAUAAAGAAACUUUCAUAACAAAAUUAACACAAUGGAAGUAGCCCCCUCGCAUUGCAAUUCAAGCAUGCCGAUUGUAAAACAAUCUAGAAUUAAGAUUUGAUACAAUUUAAUGAUAUCCUUAAUCCAAUGUUGGACUUAUAUAGAAUAUGACUGCUAAAUUUUGUCAUUGAACUGCGUAUAGUAGAUGGUAUUAAUAGAUUACUUAAGUUAUUUUGUGACAAUAAGUCGGCAGUAUUGUAUUCUAACAACAACAGGAGAUCGACGAAGUCGAAGCACAUAAAUAUUAAGUUCUUAGUUAUUAAAGAAAGAGUUUGCAGUGGAUUAUCAUCUAUAGAGUAUAUCGGCACAAACUCUAUGAUUGCGGAUUCGCUUAUUAAAGGAUUGUCAUCCAAAAUGUUUCACGAGCAAAUUACUCGUAUGGGUGUCAUGUCACUAAAGGAUACUUAGUUUUAGUAGGAGUUUGUGAUUUUAAAUACUCUUAUAAUAUAAACAUUUUUCAAUUUAUGGAUAUUUGAGGUAUGUUUUGGUUUAUUUGCAUUCUGAUUUUGGUAUGCUUUGAUCUUACUAAAGUUUAAGGUGGAUCAGUUGGAAAUAGGUGUGUUAAGAUCACAUUGCAUGAAAUUUUCAUGCUACACAUCCACGUCAUAAUCCGUGUUAUUCAAUUGUAUUGGCACAUCGACUAUUGAUGGGUCGAGUUAUGACAUUUGUAGUAAAAGCCGCCUUGAUCCUAUAUUAAUAUAAUUGAUGGACUGGAUUGGUUAUAGAUAUAUUUUGGUAAUAACAACAAGGUUAAAUUCAUACAAUAAUUUUUGCAAAACAAGAUUAUAAGGUUACACAUAUAGCCCAAGUUGGAGAUUGUUAUUUGUUGGAUCCUUAAUCCAACACUAAGUUUAUAUGUGAAUAAUUAUGUGUUGCGGACUGUCAUAUAAAUUUAAGCCCAAUCAAAAGUGAUCUAUUAGAGAUUUUCGAUAAUUUGACUUUUAACGUAUUUAAUAGGGUGUGAGUCUUUAAUGUACAAAGACUUAAGAGUAAUUUCUAUUUUUAUGAUGUGUUGAAACAUAGAUACCUAAAGAUAAUAAGAAAAUUAUCUAUAUAAGUGGUUAUGGUCCCCAAAUCAAAUGCAUCGUUAUGUUCUUUUUUGACGUCUCAUCAUCAUAGAGAGUAUAGAGAGAAAUUUAAAUGAUUUUAUAGGAUAAUGCGUUGAUUUAUAAAGCAAACCACAAGACUCUAGAAAAUAAUUGUGCAUUAUGAAUUUAUGUAUGUUUCUACAUAUUUUGUUAUAAAUUUUUUAUAGUAUAAUAUAAAUAUUUCUGAAUUUAGAUAAUGAUUUUAAAAAAAUACAAUAUGAAUAUUCCUAAAUUCAGGUGAUGAUUACCAAAAAGAUUUGUUGUUUUAACAUUAAUUUAAUGUUUUAGAUUCAACGUCAAAGCCUGAAAUACGCCAAGUUUGACGUGAAAGAUUAAAAGUUUAACCGGUUAGAUUUGAAAUUUAAUGCAAACAAAGACUUGAAAUAUAACAUCAACAUGCUUUAAUCUAAUAUAUAACGUUACAGAUUUUAACGUUAAAACAACGUAUCUAUUAUAAUUUUAUUUUUUAGUAUGUAUCAAGUUUGUUCUAACAGGUCAUUGAAACGUGGCGUCACCGAUUAGUUUGUUAAUUGGUUGAUUACGUGUUGAUUAGGUUUUGAAAUUAAACAUGUGAAGAAUAGCAAUUCAUCUAUAUAUAUAUAUAUAUGUAUUGUAAAAAAAAAACACGUGAUAUUAAAAUACAUGGUGGCUGGAGAUAUAAUUAAUUAUUAGAUCGUGUAAAGAAACAUCCACGAGGAAGCUACCUAGGGUUUUCGAAAAGUUAUAAUGAGGUAAUUAAUUAAUUGGUUAAUUACCUUCGAUCGAGGGUUGACAUUAUCUAUAAUAUCUACAUCACAAGAGACGACACGUUUAGUGUUUUACUUGGACAAUCAAUCAAAUUGUAGCUCCAUGUUUGGUACAAAUCACAUUUAAUAAUGAGUUGAUAACGAAAGAGAAUUACGCUGAAUAAUACCACCCAUGUGAUUUUCAUGCAAUUUUAACUUACAUAUUUGUGGACUUUGUGAAAGAGACCUGGGAAAAGAACAGUAUAUUGCAGGUAUACCAACCGUAGCAUAUGACACAUGCUAGCUUUUUGUUGCGUUGAGUGGCACGUCAAUUAUUGAGUUACCGUCCAAUGGCCCCCUUAAUUUAAAAAUUUUGCAUGCAAUUAGUGAUGAUAAAAGAGUUAAUCAAAGUUGGUUGGUGUGAGUGAUUCAGCACUCUUAUUUUUUAAGAGAGGUUAGGAGUUUAAGUUCCGUUCUUGUAUUGAGUCACCACUUUGGCCAAUAUUUUAUCUCUUACGAGUCGAUACGGUGCGAGCGGAGAUUAGUCUAAAUUAUAGUACGAGCUUAGAUUAGUCUAAAUUAUAGUACGAGCUUAAAAGUACCUCCCAAGAUUGGGGUCCACUUAGGACCACCUCGUGGUUCAGAUAAAAAAAAAAUGAAAUGAUAAAAGAGUUAAAAAUGUAUAAACUAUUGCAAGCAAGUCAUUGUCUUAUCUUUGCUGUACAUAUUUAUAAACAAACACAGAGACUCGAAUAUAUCCAUUCUCUGUUUGCUAUAUCAAUAAAAUAACGCAAAGGAUAUGGAUUGCCAAAGAGAUUGUAUGUAUAACUGCUGGCUAUUUAUUGGGUCCUUGAGAAACAAUAAUGGUCCAUUGUAUAUGUAUUUGAAUGAGCUCAAAAUUAAAUUCAAGAAUUAAUUACAUUUGUAACAACUCAUAUAUAUUGCUGCUACAUAGGUUGUAGUGUUCAAAGCAAUUUACGAAUCUUUGAGUAUCUUUGAUCAAGUACAAACGUUAACCCCAAUUAGGUUUACGAUUUAAUUUCUAACACAAUAACUUGAUUGGGUGUAGUAUGCAUGCAUUAAUUUGUUUCUUUAUCAUUUUCCUAUGAUUGUUUUAGUCGGACUGAUACUUGUGAAAUAUGAAACAAACAAUGGCUCCGCUAUCAUCAUUGGGUAGAUCGACAAACAACAAACUCAUCAUCUAAGCACAAGACUAUGAAUCGCACCUCAUGUUUCUAAAGUUAAACAGCGAGCAUGGCAUUGGCAUUGUCUCAUGACAUCAAAGGCUUGGAAGUCACAUGGGAUGUUUGAUAAGACGAAGGUGAUGUAUUUAACCUAUUUCUAGGGCAAAAACAGGACCGCCACAUGGAGACAUCUUCAAAGUACUGCAAGUGCAAGCAACUUGUUCAGGUUCCUUUAAAUAACCAAUGCAAUAAUUGUUAAUGCACCUCCACAUAUCAUCACGUGCACUCUCUCUUUUGAAUGAUCAAGACAAAUUCUUGGCUUGAUUCUGAUCCCAUCAACUUACCAGUUGUAGUCGAACAUUUACACGAUGUUCUUUAAUUUACGCUUCGAAAUUAAAUAUCAGGUUGGGUUUGUUAAAUUAAAUAUAUAUAUAUAUAUAUAUAUUUCAAGUUGGGUUUGUUAAAUUUCAGAGCAAAAUGAGGCAACUCAAAAGGACAUGAAGUGGAAACACAUUUUACGAGAUUCAUCAUCUUGGUUUAGAGGCAGCCAUGAUUGCUUUCCCAGUCCAGCUGGCAAACCAUGGGCUGGUUUUUGCACAAAGCUUACUAUUGGGCCAAUUUCUUGUAAUAGAAGAGCAACAAGACCAGGAAGUGAAUGCUCUUGUGGUCCAAGUUCUUUGGAUCGAAUUGGUCUCUCUCUUUGUAUUCGAUUUUAUUAUUAUUAUUAUUAUUUAAAUUUUAGAUUAAUAAAAUAUUUAGGUUUUGUUUUUUAUGAUCAGUUUUGAUCCAUUACUCAAUGUGUACAGCCCCCCUAUCUUGAAACUAAUGAAUUAGCUGGGUUUGUUCAUUUUUUUGGGCAAAACAAAGCCAUGCAACUCAAAAAAAGACAGCUAUUAUAAGUUUGUUCUGUUCAACUUGGUUUAAAAGCAACCACCGUGAAUUUUUUAUUUUUUAAGUGCUUCCUAAUGAUUUUUUUUCCUGCCAUUUUAAAUUUUUAUUAGAAGAUGAUUAAAGAAUUAAAAAAAUCAUACAGAGAAAUUUCAUGAAUUGAAAAAAAAAAAAUCAUAAUGAGAAAUUUCAUCCGUUUUAAAGAAACUCUUUAGCUGUAAAUGUAUAAUCAUUUACACAUUAUUGGCAAUUAACUUUGUUAAAUUCAAUUUUUCUUUUUAAAUACUUCCUUAUGAAUUAUGAUAUUUAAAAAAAAAAAAAAAAUUACUUCCUUAUGAAUCACGCGUCUCUCAAACGACCCUACCAAACAAAAAGCCUGCAGACAAGCUGUUUUUUGGAAAAACCGAAAAAAAGGUUAAGAAAGAAAGCAAAAAAUAAAGCAAUUACAUCAUUCAAAUCAUUCAAAUCAUUCAUCGAACCCACUAUUCUGGACAGAGAAAUCAAAAGGGCUUGAGUUCUGUUCAGCAGAUAAACAGAACAAAGAAAAAAAAUAAUUCUCAGAACACUAUCAUUGGCUCCAACAUUUUUGCUUGAUUUUGUCUUCUUUAUAAGUCGCAGUACCCCAGUACACUAAGCCAUAUAAAAAAUGGCUUAUAAUCCAAAAGGAGCUUCCUUUCUUGUUCAAAUCUUGUUCAUUUUCAUAAAUUUUUAUCUGGGCAGUGCCUUUUCAACAGACCCAGUUGCCCAGCAAAAACUUGACAGAGUUGGGAAGCUACCUGGGCAAAAUUUCAAUGUCAACUUUGCCCAUUACUCUGGUUAUGUCACAGUCAACGAAGAAUCCGGGAGGGCUCUCUUUUAUUGGUUCGUUGAAGCUGUUGAAGAUCCUGAUUCCAAGCCUCUUGUGCUUUGGCUCAAUGGAGGUCUAAAAGCUUUAACCUUUUUGUUGUUUCCUUUUUUUGGAUAAACUUUAUUUUGUUUUGAUUGGUUACUGUGUUUUUGACACCUUUCCUAUUUAUUAUGUUGGAUUUUUUUAUUACUUUUCCUAUAUCCCAUAAUUUACUCUUAAUCUGUACAAUGCACAUUGGUCAUGUUCAUUUGCUUGUUUUGGCUCUUACUUUUCAUGUUGAUAUAUUGUUUUUCAUUUCUUUUGAGUUAGUUAUAUUAUUAGUGUUCUCAUUCUUAAUUCUUUUUUUUUAUUAAUUAUACCUUUUUUUUUUAUUUUGCAAAUUGGUUCUGAACAAAGUGCUGUUUGUUUAGGGCCUGGGUGUUCAUCCAUUGCUUAUGGAGAGGCAGAGGAAAUAGGUCCUUUUCACAUCAAGCCAGAUGGGAAGACCUUAUACUUGAAUCCUUACUCUUGGAAUCAAGGUGAGAGAUAUCUUCCUAUGAGCAUCAAACCGUUGUCUUUUGAGGGUCCAGAAUGAAUAAUUGAAUAAACCCCUUUUUUUGCUUUUGCUUUUGUUUAAUUGUUUUCAUAUGAAUUCAAUUAUAUCUGAUAACUUUCACCACCUCCCAGUUGCCAACAUUCUGUUUCUUGAUUCCCCCGUUGGCGUUGGUUUUUCAUAUUCAAAUACAUCCUCUGAUAUUACGACCAAUGGCGAUAAAAGGACUGGUAAUAUUUCAGGCACUUUGUAUGUCAUAUUCUGCUUUGAACUAUUGGUCACUACUGCUGGCUUGUACGUUGGUAACAUGCCAUCUUUCAUUUGCAGCGGAGGAUUCCCUAAAAUUUUUACUAAAGUGGUUAGAACGGUUUUCACAAUUUAAAGGAAGGGAUUUCUACAUCUCCGGGGAGAGUUAUGGAGGUACUUAGUAUUUUCUGUCGGUAUCUUGUCUAUCUACAGUAAAACAUAUGUACUCCUGUUUCCACACAUUCUGUCAUGCACACUUGCAAUUAUAUUUUUAGCUCUAGCGAGUGGAUUGCCAUUGUAUACGGCUUAUUACAUCUUUUUUACUUUAUAUGAUGACAUUAGAGCUUCUUUUAAGUAGAUUUCUGAACAUCACAAAAAUGUUUUUCAGGGCAUUAUGUUCCUCAGUUAAGCAAAGCAAUCAUAAGGCACAACCAAGCAACUGGGGAAAAAGCAAUUAAUCUGAAGGGCUACAUGGUAUAGAGUCUUUUUUCUGAAACAGCAGUGAUUCAUGCUCAUGAAGUGUAUGCAAACAACUUGAAUGCUAAUAUGCUUGAGUAAUGCAGGUGGGAAAUGCUCUAACUGAUGAUUACCACGAUUACUUGGGCCUUUUCCAGUUUUGGUGGUCAGCUGGUUUGAUAUCUGAUGAUACGUACAAGCAACUAAACCUUCUAUGUGAUUAUGAGUCCUUUGUCCACCCCUCCAGUUCUUGUGAUAAGGUCCUAGAUGUUGCUGAUAAUGAACUUGGAAACAUUGACCAAUACAGUAUUUUCACCCCUUCCUGCACUGCCAGUGUUAGCCAGUCAAAUCGGCUGCUUAAAAGAAUGCAUGUGAGUAAAUCAUUUUAUGAACUAUGUACUUAUUAAAUUGUAGGAACUUUCAUAUUCUACUAUUUUCCUGUAGGUUCCAUUUAUGUUGAAAUAUGAUGUCAUCUGACAGGUUGUUGGUCACCCCAGCGAGAAGUAUGAUCCUUGCACUGAGAAGCACUCAGUUGUGUACUUCAAUCAACCUGAGGUUCAAAAGGCUCUCCAUGUUAUUCCAGCAGUUGCACCGGCAAAAUGGGAGACUUGCAGGUAGUUCUUUGAAGAAGUGCUAAAAAAUUAUUAGUCGCGUAGCUAUCACCGAAUCCAAAUGAAGGAGAGUAUUAAUACAUCAGCAUUGGCCUGUCUUGUUGGAAUCCAUUAUAGAAAGUGGAACCUUAAGCUUGUAUCCACAAUAUUAACAGCUGACAUUUUACAUCCUUGAUUGUUGACUUAGGUGGCACCAACAGUAUGCCCUCAUGAUUUUCUUUAUUUUUACUGCUUUGCAGUGGUGUGGUAAAUAAUAACUGGCUGGAUUCUCCUAGGACAGUGCUGGACAUUUAUCGUGAGCUUAUACAUUCUGGACUUCGUAUAUGGAUGUUCAGGUUCUCUCAAUUUCCGAAUUUGCAUUUACGUCUUUGCUUUCUUAUUUCAAAUUUAUUCCUACACAUGGAAUGCUUUCCCCUCACUGUGUCAUCCCUGUUCCCUCCAUUGUUUAGACAGAGAUUUGCUGACAUUCUUAGUUUUGUUUGAUUUUCUAUACGACAGUGGUGAUACAGAUGCUGUGAUCCCAGUUACGUCCACCCGUUACAGCAUAGAUGCUCUUAAUCUUCCAACAGUGAAGCCCUGGCGUGCCUGGUAUGACGAGGGGCAGGUGAAUUAUACUACAAAACCAUUCAUUUCCUAGAUAUUGUAUAUAAUAUUUCGCAGAAUGAAAUGUAUGGAACUUUUAUUUACUAAUUCCCAAUACAGUAGUCCUAAGAAAUAAAAUAACCUGUUAAACAGGUGGGAGGAUGGACCCAAGAGUAUUCUGGACUUACCUUUGUCACCGUGAGGGGAGCAGGCCACGAAGUCCCAUUGCAUAGACCCAAACCUGCUCUCACACUAAUCAAAAGCUUUCUAUCAGGAAGGUCAAUGCCAUGCUUGAAACGAGUCAGCCACAGUGACUCAUGAAGCUUGCAUUCUCACUUGAAUUGUAAAAUAAAGAAAGCAGUUGUGAUUCUUAUAAAAUCCGAAGCAACUUUUGAGAUCAUAAUGGAAUUCAUCAAGUUCUUAUUUUCUUAGAUAUCUUGCAAUGAAGCAUAGGGAACCAUGUGUAAUAUGUAGUCUGUGCAACUGCACAUUAACAAGAUAACAAUAAAUUGAGAAAACAUGAUAAGAAAUUACUUUAAAUUGAAUGAGCAUCUUGUCACUUACUAUGUUUUGUCAUCGAGCUGAUUUUAUUUAUUUUUUAUUUUUGGUUGUACGUACAAGGGACGUGGAAAUGAUAGGUCAUAGGUACAUCCAAUAAUAACCUAUUAGCAAAUAACAGGUUUGGACAUAAAGAGUUAAAUAUCAGUAGGUUCUUUAACAUCACCGCUGCAGGUUCCAUGGUAUGAACAUUUGAUAAGCGGUUGCCUUGUAUUUCAAUCGUUUUUUCUGUCAACAAUUGUUGGAGAUCCAUCCGCAGCUUCAUUAUCACGAGUGAUGGUGCUGAAAAAACUUUGUAAUUUUCUGUAUAGGGUCAUAGUUGAUUAUAUAUACUCUUCCAAGUGUUGAUUCAUUUUACUGAAUGUAUAAAAUUCAAGGCUUUUUAAACCAGAAUAGAUGUUUAACUUGGUUGAUGGUGUAUAUUUAAAUUGUAUACCGUCCUUCGAUAUUUAAAUGAAAUAUGAAAUUAUUUAUGACUUUAUUGAACAUAAAUAUUUAAACAAAAGAAAAAACUUAGAGACAACUAAGUGUCUAGCAUCUCAAAAGUAUUAAAUUUGCACUACCCACCACCAUAAGGUCUGUGACCCAUGAUGUGAGAGAAAAUGACAUUAAUUUGAUCGACCAUUGGUAAAUAAUUUCUUUAGCUUCUACUAAAUUUAAAUGUUUGUAAACUAAUUUCCUCCAUGAUUACAAAAGUAAAGUAUCUAAUAUGCGUGAUGAGAUUAUGAAGAAAUAAUGGAAUUUUAAGAUGGUGAUACAAGAAUUAUUAAAUGAAGAUAUUCAAUGUACAUAAAAAAUGAUUUAAUGUUUGGAAUUAGUGGAGAAAAAGAAAAUGAUGUUAAAAGUGAAAAAGAAACUUAUUUUAAUUUCAAUAUGAAAUGUGAAAUCCAUGUAACCGGUUUCAAAAAAAAGUAAAAAGAUGUUAUGUAGAGAUUGAGAAAAACAAGUAUAAUAGUAUAUAUUGAGAACAAAAAGUAAAGGAAAUAAAAUUAUAAAUGUGGGACUGUAUGAAUUGAAAAGUCUCAAAAUAUUGAAAAAAUGCUAAUUUAUCUUAAAAUUAGAAAAUAAACUAAAACAAUCAAAAACCUAAAUUCACCAACGACUCUCACUACCUUUUUAGUUUUUUAUUCUUUUUAUUUUGCGGCUGAUUUAUGUAACCCAUCUGUUACUAAUAGAAACUGUAACUUGUAGAGUACUAAAUUCAAAUUGCUUCCGGAGUGGAGCGGACCAAGCAGGCCCGGCUCAGUAUUUCUCCUCUUCUUCUUCUUCCCCAAAGUCACUCUGAACCCCAACUUCGAGUUCCGGUUUGUUCUGUACUAUACAAACAGCUGAGGCCCCUUCUCUCUCUCCAGCAGCUGUUAUGCUUCACCGUCGUUGAUCAGCGGUCAGAUAUUAAUCUGUCUCUUCUUUCUUCUUGCUCUCGCAUAUUCAUUUGUACAUAUAAAAUAUAUAUGUUUUACAUGUAUGUGUGUACGGAUGCUCGUAUAUUUGAUCAUACUUAUAAUAGCUUCAUUUAGCUUGAUUAGUUCAUGUUAUCAAAUGGAUCUAUUCAUUAUUGUUAAUUAGCGAAAGCCAUGUUUCUCUUUUGUUUUUAAUUUUUGUUUUGCCUCAUCUUGGAGGUGGUUUGUUUAAUUAAUAAUCAAUCUUGAAAUUGCUUCUUAGUGAUUGGUGUAAAUAAAAAGAAAUUAGUGUUUUUUUCCCUUUUAAUGCCUGUAUGUAUGAUCAUAUGGUUGAGAUUUCUGACCAUAGAGGUUUAGUGAAAAUUUGAAGUUGGCAAUGUUACGUUUCGUGUAAAUAUGACCUUAUGAAAACAUCUAUCUACAUGGUAUCCAUUUUGGGAUAAGGAUUUAACUCUGUUGUUGUUCGAGUGAAUAUUUCCUUCUCGGAGUUCUAUAUUACGGUUAGGAAACAUUUGUGAAUGUGAACUUUAUGUUUUCAAGUGAAAGCAUUGGCUUGCUUUGUGAUAAAGAUGUUAACUUGCGGGGUUAUAAUAUCAUUAUACAUGGUUAAACAAUAGACUCUGAGUAUGAUGCUCUGCGGGAUAAGUUUUGUUGUAUGCUGAGUUAGUUAUUUUCAGCAUGUACUAAAAACCCAAGAAAGACACUCAUCUCUGAAUUACCUUAUCGAGUACUGUCCUGGUGGUUUAUUGUGCUACUGCUGUGAGCCAAGACUAAGGAAAGCAAAAUAUUCAGCUUCAAGGCGGUGAUACUGAAAAGAAAAUCUGCAUUAUCUGUUCUCUGUUUCUUGAAAGAGUUCCUCCAUUGUGGAGUUUUUAGCUGGUUGUUAAACCGACUAUUUACAGUGCAGAUAUGUCAUUUGGGACACUUAAACUCUGUGGGUCAAAUCCUUUAGUGCUGCUGGCAGAAAGUGUGUUUUGAACAGGUAUGCACAGUGCAAAUAUCCUCAGUCAUUUCGUUCUUAUUCGUAUCUUUUAUACACAAUUACCUCUUUACAAAUUGAACUGCUUCAAAUGAAGGGGCAAAAGGAGGAGAAUAGGCUGACUGGAUAACAAAAAUGGUAAUCUCCAGUUCUAAUCCUCAAAACAGGGAGCUGGCAAUCAGGAAGAGGAUCGCUAGCAUGUAUCUCUCUCUCUCUCUCUCACUCACAGAUUUGUAAUUAGCAACAAGUGAAAUGCAGUUGAGAAUUUUUGUUUGGAUAUAUAUUAGAUAUUGUGUGAAUUUAAACUCUAAAUUUUUGGGACAAUUGCUGAAAAGAAUCUUUGAUCAUCAAAUUUCAUUCUUUCUUGUCAGCAUUGGAAGUGGAGUGAACCUUUUAUAAAUUGAAAUUGUACUAAAAUCUCGAAAGUGACUAAUCUGCAAAGUGGUUUUAAUUUCUAGAUAUGGCAAUUAUUGUUGUAUCAUCUAUAUCAAGCAGUCUUUCUUUCUUCUUCAUUUUUUAUUUUUCCUGUAAAAGGUGAUGUCAUAGGCAUAUUCUAGAACCUUGCUUAUUCUACUUCUGUUUGUUGUGUUUUUAUUUUCCCUUUUCUGUAUCGGUGUCACUACAUUGAUUACGUAUUUCCUCUGCCAUUAUAUAUAUAGCAUUAUAGUCAAGCAUCCUUGAGGCAGUUAACUAACUAUUUUGUUUUUUGUUUAGAUACAAUAAGCGAGAAGAGGAUUUUCCAUCAUUGAAAGAAUACAAUGAUUACUUGGAGGAAGUGGAGGACAUGAGUAAGCAUUUCAAUAUUUCAAAUCAUUAAUCCUAGUGAGAUUCUAAGUUUGAGGAUUUUAUUUUGAUAUGAACUCUCUGUUGCAAAGUAUUUAACUUAGUUGAAGGAGUAAAUGUACAUGAAUUUGAGGAGAAAAUUCAAGAAUACCAGAAAGAAAAUGCAGAACAAAUAAUGAUAAAUCAAGCUCGGAAGGUACUUGUUUUAUCUUAACAUCAUCUGUUAUUGGUUAUUACAGUUAUCCUAUAAUCAAAAUUUGCAUUACUUAGAGGCUAUUAAAAAUUCAUAUAAUUGUAACAGGCAGAAGAACUCGCUGCAGCUCUGGCAGCAAGCAAAGGAAUUUCUGCACAAGACGAUACCAAUGGGGUGAGAAUGUUGUGUUCUAUAAUUAGUUCUUGUCAUGAUUACCUGAUCUCAGUUUCUUGACUUCCCUAAUCUAUAAUAGUCACUGAAUAAAAGUUCAAGAGAGAUGUCUCCUUAAAAUUCUUUGUUUCUGCCAAUCGUAGUAGUAAUGCAGUUCGUAAUUUAUGUCUUCAGACACUGAUUUUUAUCUCUUAAUUGAAAAACAAGGGAUUUUAUUGGCUAAUAUGUUUUUUUGAGACAGGAUCCAAGCCAGAGUGCUCUUGGAGGCAUUGUUGUUGGUGGUACACAGGGACAAUAUGUCCCUACGCUUGCUGGAGGACAGCCGAGACCAACAGGAAUUCCACAGCCUAUAGCUCAUGCAGGUGCCAUGGACUUUCACAGUUAUGACAAUGAGGCAAUGAUGAAACUUCGAGCAGAGAGAGGUGGAAGGGCAGCAGGAUGGAGCAUGGAGCUGAGCAAGAAAAGAGUACUCGAGGAAGCCUUUGCAAGCAUUUGGAUUUAAUUUCUCCAAGCACCAAUCGUUCUCCCCAAUUCGUUGAAGGGCCUCAUUAGGAUUUGACACCAGUUUCCUCAUUUGUCUAUUUGAAGAGGGAACUAUAGAUUUUCUGUCAAAUUCUGCUAUGAGAGUUAAGCUUGUUAGAUUUGACAUUUUGACUCUGAAGAUUUCACAUGUCGAGACGUGUAACAUUAUUGCCACAUUUUAGUGGAAAAAGUUGCAUCUCAGUCCAAUCUUAUUUUGAACUUUCUUUUAAAAGUCAAUGAGAGCAGUGGCAACUUGCAAUGGCUUCAAGGUGAUGUAAAUGCUAACACUAAGUUCACUUUACACAUGAUAAAAUCCCGUCUUGAAAAUAAGAUGUGUGGGGUCUUGAAAACAAGAUGUGUAGGGUGGACCCGAUCACAUGGGUGAGAGUGGCUAACAUGUUAUGAGUGUCACUAAAUUUUCUCUGAUGCUCCUCUUUACCUUAGAAAAUUUUUGUAAAGGUAACUCACAAUUUAGGUUAAUUUCUAAAGUAACUCCAAUUUUUUUUGUUUUUAAGAUGCUAAGAAAGAGUGCUGUUGGUAAUAAUAUCUUUGAUAAAGACAAUGCAUCUGUCGUUGGGUAAUAGCAUGUCUCUCAUUGAUCGAUAUUUGAGAUUGGCAAACCAUCUCACUGGCGUUGUAGUAUAUAAAAUAGAAUGCUCUUUUUUUUUUUUUGCUACUAAAAUAAGUUGAAGAAAAAAAAAUGUUUAGUGAUUUACUUCUAUAAAUUCACCCUAAUUUUAAGCUAUUUUUACGUUUUUGACAUUUUGUAAAAUUCCACUCAAAUUUUAUUUCCUAAAUUACACUUUGCACGAGGUAAUCCUAUUUCUCUUGUAGUUAUAGUAUUUGUCCUGAGUGUUUUCCUGAUUGCUUAAGGAUUACGAAGGACAGCUGCCUGCUCGAUAUAAAUAAUACUUGACUAGCAAGUGACAAAGCAAAGGGGAAGUUACAUGGCGAUCAGAAAAAUAUGAUGCCAAUGGUUUUGCUUGGGAUGUUCAGGACGCUUUACUUGGCAUUGGUGCCUUUGCAUCAGUUUUCUUGGUCAAAAGAAAACCUGCAAAGGAAGCGGAAGACGAUAGCUUACCUACAGUAAUGGCCAUCAAAACAGCUCCACUGGCUGAAGGAUCAUCUCUCAGACUUGAGAAAGACAUUCUUUUUUUCUUGACGCCAAGUGAUUACUUGAUCAAGUAUUAUGGCGAUAAAGGAACCGAGAAGGAUGACAGGAAGAAGACUUACAGCUUGUUCUUGGAGUUCCGCAGCGGAGUUAACUUAUACAAUCAUUCUAAAAAGUCUACUAAGAUAUUGCUUGAGCAUGAAGUAAGGCGUUACACGAGGGAUAUUCUUAGAGGGCUUGACCAUAUUCACAGUCAUGGUGUAGCUCACUGUGGUAUUAAGCUGGAUAACAUCUUGCUGGUGCCUGGAAAAGACGCUGGUUUCAUGGCUAAGAUCGUAGCACGAGGAGAUAAGUGCUUACAUGAGAGGCACGGUUUGUUAAAUGUUACCGGAGUUGGUGAAGGACAGGUCGCUGACAUAUCCUGCUAAUGUAUGGGCACUUGGGUGUGUGGCUGUGGAGAUGAUGGCUGCAGAGAUAUCAGCAUGGGGUAGUUUUGACGUGGGCUUGCUUCAAGAGAUGAUCUUUCAGAGCUCAUUCCUUCAGAGCAGAAGUGCCGGAGCUUCCAAGUAAUAUUUCAUAAGACGGGAGAGGUUUCUUGAGCAAGUCAUCAGGGAUCCUCAGCUUAGAUGGACUGCUAAACAGUUGCUGGAGCAUCCUUUUCCUUCUGUUGAUGAAUGAGUCAUUUAUGUGUAAAUCUGAAAAUUCUUUGUAACUAGUAUACUAAUUAACUUGAGAGUCUUUCCACAUAUUUGAUCAUGAUCAAACAGUUAAUUUGUAAUGUUCUAAAGUUAAUGAAACACAAACUUUCCACACAUGUUUCUGCUAGUAUGUAAUGUUUUGGUUCUUUAAAGUGGCUAAAUUUCUCUUCCUUGAUUUGAUGAACAAAAAACUCUCUCUGCUGAUAUUGUCAAGAUCUUGGCUAUUUGUUAGAAAUUUGUAAGCUAUCUCCUCAUCAAUACUGUAAUGGUUUCAAAUCAACUUAAGAAGGAAUGAGCCGAGGAUUUCUUAUUUGUCAAGAUCUGAUUGAUGUAGGAUUAAAAAACCAAUAGAAGAAGCUCUCAGAAUGAUCAGGAGAUCAACAAUUAUGCUUUUAAACGAUGAUACUAAGUUCACUUGGAAGCUAAAAUUUUGAUUGUUUAAGAGUGACUGAAUAGAAGAUUCAAAUCAAGAUUCAGUCAAAAAGGUGAUGACAGGUGUAUUCCUUCUCUGUUCUAAAAUAAGCAACUGAGACAUGUCAGUUUGAUCUGUUACACGCAAAGAAUAAACCGGAUGAUAGGUGAAUACAUUGUCAUCCCUAGACAUUUUAAAUCACAUAUUUCAUACUGUAGCUGAGGUUUUUUCCAUCCAUGGUUUUUAGUUCACCAAUUGCCUGCAUCUGCAUCCCGAGACUGGUAGAAAUCAUUUGGCCUAACAAUAUUGACAUCCUCAAACUGGUUGUCAUCUGCAAGAAAGGAUAGGUUGUCAAAACAGUCUCAACAAAAACAAAGGAAUGCUGAACCUGCUUUAAAUCUACUUGUACUGACUUUUGAUAAGACUGACUUCCCUUACCCCAACCAACUCUAUUCUUAUAUUUACCUAUCUAAUUUUUUUUUCCUUGGUAGGGAAACUAAAGGAAUAUAUACUACACUACAAUGUCAAGCUUAACUCUAUCAAUAGACUAUAAUUUAAAAACUGGUAUGCUUGUUGAUCCUAAGCCUCCUACUUGACCAAAGAAAUUGUGACUUGAACAUUUUCAGCAACAAAAUAUUUAGAACUUGUUUGUUAAAUAUCCAAAGUAUGAAAUUUUAUUAAUUUCAGUCAUUUUUAAUUUUUUUUUUGCUAAUUUAUGUCUGAUUUUCAAACAUUUACAUUUGAAUAGAAAAAAUGAACUUUUAUGAUUUUUCUCUGAAUGGAAAGUAAAUACUAUAUCUGAAAGAUAUCUCCAUUAAAUAUACUUGUUUCCUAAACCUAUAAAACCUAAUCCCUUUACUCAUUUUGAUUUAUAAGGAGCAUCAAAUAACCAUGUCUGAAUUGUUUUUUAUUUAUGAAAACAAACAAGAUGCCACUUAUAUUCAGAUAUUAGAAAAAGAAAAACAAACAUGUCAUUUAAACAUUUAUAUUCAGUCUCAUUCAGACUUCAGACUUAAUUAGAUUCCAGAAGGGGAAAAAAAAAAAAAAAACACUACCUUAGUCAUUUCCUUCAGUGUCAGCACCAUACAAAUAGAUAUGACAUUCAUUUAAUGCAUAUAAGCAAUACAUUGCAAGCUAACAUGCAGUGCAUAAGUCAAUUACAGUAAGGUUCGGUGUCGUUGAAGAAACUUUGAUUAUUUUGAUACAUAAAAUAAAAGAACAAUUUCAAGUCCAAAAGAGAAAAGAGGAAUCCAUGGUCACAUGUCGACAAUGGGUGAGAAGCAACAAUUGCUAUCAUUGCAUGACCAAAACUAACAGCUCAAGGGAAGGAAAUGGAAAAAGAGUGGAAAAGGUAAGUAUAGCACUACGUAAACAGAAUUCCACAUGUGGUACAAGUUCUAGAAAAUAUAAAUAUUAAUAAGACCUGGAAGACCAUAUUCAUGCAUAAAAUACUUAACAAAAAAAUAGUGAAGUCCACUAUGCAGUCAGCAAAGGCAAAUAUCACCGACAAUUUGCAACUGUGGGAACAAAUGAGCUUCCACAACUGUGUCUGCAUUUUUUUUGGAGGGGAGGGACUGUGGGUAGUUUCAAAGAUAUAAGAGACACUUGCAACCAUACCCAAACGAUAGCCUGCUGGGCCUAACCCUUGCAAUAGAAGCAAGAGGUCCCAGGUUUAAGUCUAAAGGCAAAUGUUUAAUUCGGGGUAGAGGAGGGGAGGUGUGCAAUGUAACUGAAAGGGGAGAGAGAGAGAGAGAGAGAGAGUUAUAACCUCAGUUUGUGACCGCAAAUUUAAUGAGAGAAAUACGGGAUAUGAAACGUAUAAACAGUUUGCGCCGUUUAUGAUAAAAUCUAACAGAAAACUUCUUCUCAUGCUAUGAUAGAAAACUGAGAGAAAUGCACUAUACUACUAGAGUCAAACCAACUAACCUACAAAACCAGAAACCAUAACAAUCAAUUCCAUGAUGUCUAGCUAAUAUAUGAUCAAUAAUCAUAAAGAGAAGGGAAACUAAAAGAAGGGAUAGAAAGACACCUUUUCUCAAAGUUAGUGCCACAACAGCAUCAUUUUCAACCUGAGAGAAAUAGCAAAUUUUCUGAAAAUGUGAACGUACACCACAAUGGGAUAAACAAUAUGCUACCAAAGUGAAAUAAUUGUAUGCAAAGAAGAUCAGAGACUUAUAUAAUCCGGACAACAAACCAUGAGAAACAAAAAGAAAGUAAAAAGUGUGAAUUUUGCAACAACCUUCUCAUCUGCCAAUGUCUUUGAAUCUUCCAAUACAUCCCCUGUCCCCACCAAAAUCAAACGCUGAUCGUUAACAGGCUGAUCAAUUAGAGCAUGCAAUUUCUGCUUAAUGUCCAAAAUAGUCUCAGUUGGAUCACAAUGGAUAAAGUAAGUUGUCUUGCUGCGCUUGACACGGAUAUACAUAGCCUGCGCAAAAUGUUAUAACACCUUUCAUUUCCCAGAGUUGAGACGACAGACCCAAACAGAGCUAUAAAAAUGCAGGGCAUACAACUCUAGUCUUUUACUUCCUUCGGUAAUGGUAGGACUCAACACAAGUAAAGAUACUAUAUGACAUGAUAGGAAAACCAUUAAAUUAUCGGCACGUAAUUCUUAUACAAUGACACAGGACAUAAAAGAUGUACAGAUUUUUGGCUGCAUUCUACCCAAUUAGAUGCAAAGCCCUUAAUAAAUCACAUUAACAAGCUCAUCAGACUGCUGCACUUGGUCCAAUUGAAAUCUCAAAUAAAGUAUAAACUUUGCUUCUCUCCUUGAAUUAAGGCAGCUUAAAAUGGCUCUUUUUUGACAAUGAACACCGGAAGAAAAAGAAAAAGACCUAAUUUUCUUCUCAAUGAUCCCACUGAAAACCAAUGAAUUUGCACACUAUUUCUUACCCAUUUAACAAAUUUUCUUGAAUUGCUUGUUCAACAUUCAUAUUAUUAAUAUAUAUAAUUCAAUAAUUUUUUAUAUGUUGUAUUUUCUCAUAUUACUAUACGCUAAUUAACGAAUAGAAAAAUAAUAAAUGAAGGGAUUUAAGGGGAUAGUGCACGUACCAUCUUCGACGUUUUGCAGCUGCUCUCGCUCUCUCCCUCUCUCUCUCUCUUCGUGCUUUGUCUUGCUGACUCGGGGAAUACGAUCAAGUUCGAAGCUUCUUUUUCCUCCAGUUGCUGUUUGGCUGCAGCGCUACACUACCCCAACACACCAGAUUGUUUUCAUAUUUUGUUAUUUUUUGUAAAGAAAAAAAUUAGAUUUUAUGUAACUUUGUUAUUUGAUAGGAAAUAUUUCUUUUUGUUUAUUGGAAAAAAAAAGAAGAAAUAUUAUUUUUUUUCUUUUUUCUUUUUUAGUUUUAAAGGAAAAAAAACACUUAAAAAAAAAGUUUAUGAUGACCCUUGCUAUUCCUGUGAUAGAUCAGGAGCAGACCUAACCAACAGCCAAACACGACCUCGAAGGACAUUACCGUACACUCAACCGCAGCCGAACAGAUUCACCUACCUGGCUAGUGGCUACCUCGAACGAAGCGUUGGGUAAAACCAGCUAGCUAACCGUCAACGAACACUAUAAUGCUAAGCUAAGAUCAGUAACAAAGUCGUCUCGAUAACCGCGCUGCACCUCACCACCCUCAAUCCCUCGCACCGGCGGCAGGCGGCUGAGGAUACUAACAAGACAAUGGGCAACGCGUCGUCGAUGCUUACUCAGUACGACAUCGAAGAAGUUCAGCAACAUUGUAACCACGCCUGUAAUUUAUACCAAAUUAACUUUUAUUUUUACUCAACUCUUUCUUUCUCAGCCGCUGAUUUGAUUUUUGUUGUUUUGAUUAAUGUGCGUGUCUCUGUUUGUAAUGUUCAGUUUCGCAGCAGGAGAUUGUUUCUCUUUAUGAAAGAUUUUGCCAGCUGGAUCGCAAUAACGGCGGCUUCAUCUCCGCUGAGGAGUUCCUAUCCGUUCCCGAAUUCGCCGUAAAUCCUCUCUCUCAGGUGCUCACUUUAAUAUAUCAAUGCAUGCUUGUAUGUAUGUGUAUCUUUUAUGAGAAUUUAUUUAUUUAUUUGUUUAUUUUGUGUUUUAUUUGAAUGAUCAGAGGCUGCUGAGGAUGGUAGACGGAUUGAAUUUUAAGGAAUUUGUAGCGUUUUUGUCUGCAUUUAGUCCGCAUGCAACAUUGCAUCAGAAAAUUGAAUGUAAUGCCUCAUGUAUUUGUCUUUAUCUGAUUUUUAUCUUUUGUUUAGUCUAAAAUUAAUUAGACGGAUUUGGUUUAUUUUCAAUUUUCAUUUGUUGUUGAUUUUGGUUUGUUUGUGUUGUAGUUAUAUUCAAGGUGUAUGAUUCGGAUGGUAAUGGGAAAGUUACAUUUACUGACAUGUUGGAUGUUUUGCGCGAUUUGACCGGAACUUUUAUAUCUGAGAAACAAAGAGAGGUUGGCCUUUAUUUUGUAUCCGAGUUUGAUGCCUGAGGGAUUGGAAAUUUCAUUUUUUAUCCUUGAGCUUUUUGAUUCGUAUCAUCAGCAUAGUGCAGACCUUGAAUAAGAAGAUUACUAACCAAAGCUUAUUGUGAUCAAAUUGGAUAAUAUUUGAGACUUGAUGCAUAACUCAUGGCUUAAAAUGGAUUUAUGCUUUGGUUUGGUGCAGCAAGUUCUGACCGACGUUCUUGAUGAAGCAGGCUAUACAAAGGACUCUUUGAUGAUUUUAUCAGAUUUUGUCAAGGUAUUGUGACAUUUUCGUUUAGCUAUCUGCAGAAGUGAGCAAUUAGUGUAAUCUUUAGAAUCAAUUUACCAAAUUAGGUGGGACGCUUAUGUUUAUAAAGUCAUCGAAGUAAUGGAAGGUUGUUAGAAAUGAUGGAGAAAUCUUGGUGAAACCCUUCAUUAAACAGCAGUAUUAAUGGUAUAGUUGAUCUACUUUCAUUAAACAGCAGUCUCAUUAGUAUAGUUGAUCUUAAAAACAGAUUUGAACUUCCACCAAAACUUAUUUGACUGUUAACCCAUCAGCUUCCGUCAUGAUCCAGUGAUCAAUCGUGAAAAUAACAGCACAAAUUGACCUCUUUCUUACGUCUUACCUUCCUUGGUGAUCAUCAGUCCCUCUUAAGAAUUAGCCUCAUUUGCUAUUUCCUUCACUUUCUUUUUAGUGGAUUUUAGUUUACUUUAACUUUCACAUUUGAUUAGUUUAUGAAGCUUUAUGAUUAGAUCUUAUUAUUGUUGUCCUUCCAUUGCCAUUUGUGUGAUGGAACCAUUCCUAUAAAUCUAUCUAUGCUCUGAUUCAUAAUGAUGUUGAACUAAUAUCAUACUACCGGAAGCAGUUUAUGUUGGAAUGGUUUCUAAGACCAAACUAUUUAAAUGGACUCUGUUACAACUAGCUGAACAAAUUUUGGGAUUUUGGAAAAUUCUCAUUACAAUCAUAAGUAAAUGUACUUUUUGUUGUCAGAAAUUGUCAGAAAUAAAAUACCUAUGAAACAAUUGUCAUUUAUAUUUUAUACAUGUGAAUUUUGUUCAAGAAGCAUAUUCAUCAUACAUGAUUUUGUUCUGUAUCAGAUACUCGGAAACUCUGGUUUGAAGAUCGAAGUAGAGGUUCCAGUGGACUAGAAGACACGAGCAACAAUUAUUAAAGAAACAAUGCCGAGGUAGUUAGCAAGAUUGGUCAUCUCAUUUGGAGCAUAAGCUGUGAAUCAUCUGGAGGUGUGUUGGAAAAAUCUGCUGUUUUCAGGUCAAAGGCUACAAUUGUUGUAUGUCAUCUAACUUCUCAAACUUAGAUCGUUGGGAUUUGAUGUAAUUGCUUUGUGUUGUCCUCUUAUUUAAUAUCAGAACUUAUGAAUGUCACUGAAUUCAUCUGAAUGAGCCUAGAUAUAUAAUAAUUUCACGUCCCUCUCAAUUUCUAAUACUGAUAAAUAACUUUUAAUUUCACGCCCCUCUCAAUUUGUAACACUGACAAAUAACGUCCAAACUAUGUGCUCACAUGGAUCAGGAUUAAUCAUCUGAAGAAUCAUUCAUAGAGAUAUUUUAAUGGGUAAGUGAGAUGGUUUUCCAGGAAUCAUGGCCAAAACUUGUACAAACAAGUGGAAGAAGAACGGCAAUAAUGGCCCAAAGUUCUCAGAAAAUUAAGAAUAAAAGAGUUCAAAAAAAUAUAAAUUCUGGGGGGAUAAAAACCCCACCAAAGUCGGUGGAUGAUUCUAUUCUAAUCGGUAACCAAUAUCAACUUUACACAGCCAUUUCUGUUAUGUAUUUUCAUUUUAUCAAUUACAUCUGUUUUUGUUCAUCUAUCCAUUCUAUGAUAUUGAUGUUAUCAAAACAGAAAGGUAAAGAGUCAUUGGAUAAGAAUUGCUUCACCUUUUAUCUGAAGACACGAAAAAAUGCAAUUUUCAAUCUAGAGGAUUUGAAAUUUUGAAUAUUUAAAUUGGAAUGUUAAAAAUUAGAUUCUUUCUUCUGAAAAGAUCAAAAUUAAUUGGUUUAAUUCAAAAAAGUUAACUAUUAUUAGGAGUACUUUCUAAUUGUACAUUACAAAAACCUGUCAUAUAAUUUCUUAGAUAAAUUUUUAUAUCGCCACAGUUCGUAUAUUGCGACUCCUUAAAAAACAUUAUUAGAAAUAUUAUAGAUCAACAAUGAUAAUAUAAUCCAAUUUAUUUGGGUCAAGAAAGAGCCAAACUUACUUUUAAAUAAUUUAAAAAAAACAAUUCUACAAAAUCCAAUUUAUGUCGGAAAGAAUCGAGUGCUUACAAAAUGAUAAGAGUUGUAAAAUUAUGUUCAAUAAGCAAUUAUUACUCUUCACGCCUUCAAGCAAGUAUCAAAUCCAUUUCUCAAUUCAUUGGUCAAGCGGUGAACUUUGGAUCCGGACAAGCCAUCAUGGCUGAAAAAUAGUUAAAUUGACAAUUAGGUUACACAACUCAAACAUUUUUGGCCUUCUAUCUCAGUGACACGUGUCCUUAUAUUUACCUGGCUUGCUGCAAAGCGCGUGGCAGUUUAAGUAAAUAUGGUCGGCAAAGUGGCGGGACCCGCAGCAGUUAUGGGCCCUUUUUAAUAGCCGUUAAAAAGACCGUUUCGAUUUCAACGACCUUUUAAAAAUGGCAAGAAACAACUCCUUCGCAUUUUUUUUUUGGCCCAAACUCCUUCGAAUUGAGGACCUGUCUAUGUUACAGAUUCUGUAACAAACAUCUCCCGUCAUCCCACCAUCCGAUUUUCUUUUGUUUAGUUUCUCACUUCACAUCCAACCACAUCCAACGGCUGAUGCUGCAGUCUGUAGCUUACAGAUUCUGUAACGUAGUUUUGUCCUCGAAUUGAAUAGCAAGAAACUUGCGGGAAAAGAAGGAAGUUUAUGUGGUCGUGAUUAAUUAAUUAAUUAAGUAACCAACAAUCAUGAUUUAAAAUAACAAUUUCAUCCGCCUCCCCUAAUUUUUUUUUAAUUUUUUUAAUAUAAGUUUAUCGCCUAAAUGGAUGUGACGUAUGACACUUAAAUUUUAGUUUGAAUAUUGCUUUAAGAAUUAUAAUGCUUGCUUACAAAAAAUGAAUAUACUCUCGCGAUACAUACUAACCUACACAACUAAUUAUAAAGAAUUCUCUUACUCUUUUUUUUAAAAAAAAAACACUUUCCAGUUUCCAUAGGAUAACUCUUUGGUCUAUUUUUAAAAAAUUUGUAAAGAUUUUAGAUAAUGUCGUCACAUUUAAAGGAAGUUGAAGAAAAUUGCAAUAAUAUUAAUUAAUUCAUUAGCUAAUAACUUUAUAUCCAGCAAAUUCAUGUUCAAGUCAAAGUCUCAAUAAUAGAAUAAAAUAUUACAAUUAAGGCAAAUUAGUCUUUGCCAUAAGAAAAUCAUUUGUAAUUUGAUAAAAUCCCAUUGUAAAUGACAAAAUUAAUCCUUUAUUUUUCCAAAAACAAGCUUCGAUUUUAUAAAAACCUUUAUUUGGUAAAUGCAAAUAGAAAAUACCAACGCGUCAGUUUCAGUUUUAGAUACGUUAUAUAAAUUCACUCUGCUUUUUCAUAAAGCAAAAGCAACAAACGCUAUUGAACCCGUUGUUUAGGAUAUUUGAACCCAAAAAAAAAAAAAAAAGUGAUUUUUGUAAUCAAGUGCUGUCUCGUUUUAAUUGCAUUUGUGGGAUUUGCUGUGAUCAUUUUGUCCAUCUUUUUGGCACCUGGGUUUGUGGAGAUAAGCUUUCGUUGAGGCUCCGAGGAUCAAACUUGCUGAGUUUUCAUUAUUGCCAGGUAUGCUCAUAUUUCCAUUCUUGUUCUUGUUAUUUUUUUCUUUUAAGUUUUUCGUUUCAUUUUGUAUUUGAAGUGGCUUUAGGAUUCAUUUACUUGCAGUUGCAAAAUUUAUCUGCUGUAGUUUUAUUGUUCUGAAUUUGUAAAUUGAAAUGCAGAUUUUUUUUUUCCCGGUCCAAUUGGGGUCUGAAUGGGUUAUUGAUUUGUUGUUAGUAAAUUCAUGAGCAAUGGCUGGUGAGGGUAAUCUGAAUAUGGGGAUGUCAGAAUCUGACAUAAAAGCUAUGAAAGAUGCACUAUGCUCUCAGCAACAGCUUCUGCAAAAGCUGUAUGCCGAAUUGGAUGUUGAAAGAGAAGCCUCGGCUACAGCAGUUAGCGAGGCUCUAUCAAUGAUAUUGCGGUUGCAGGAAGAGAAGUCCUUAGUGAAGAUGGAAGCAACUCAGUAUAAGAGAAUGACAGAGGAAAAAAUUAGUCAUGCCGAGGAAUCAUUAGCGAAUUUUGAAGAUCUUAUGUAUCAGAAGGAAAUGGAAAUUGCUGCUCUUGAGUUCCAAGUUCAGGCUUAUAAGUUUAAGCUUUUAAGCAUGGGAGUUAGUGAGGUGGGUGGUAAUGAACAUAGGUAUCCAGAGAACUUUUUGAUGCCAAAAGAUGAUGCAUUUGUUGGCGAAAUGGGUUCUAAUGAGCAUGUGAGAAGGCUCAAAUCUUUGCCUCCUGUUCAAAUGAAAGAGUUCAUUCAAAAUAGAAUUAGAAGAUCUGUGACCCCUGAUUCAGAUAUGGUUGUGAAGAUUGUGGAUGAGAAAGGUUCGGAUGGGGAUGUUAGUGAUCAAAGCUUUGAUUCGAAGAAGAAUCCGGUGAAAGCGGAAACUGGAGACUUUGAUUCAUAUUGGGAGCAGAUCAGAAAGUUAGAUAAAAGAGUGAAAGUAAUAACCGAUAGAUCUGCCAACUUAAAGGCUGAGUCCAGGACAUCUUCUUUGAUUUCACAAUUAAGCACUGGUACAUUCUAUGAUCCAACAAAAUGCACUAAUACAGUCCCAACUAAAUUGGAAGAAGUAAACGAUCCCAAAACGCCUCUGGAGAAAGAAGCACUUGCAGAUUCCGCUUGUUCCUCGAGUGUUUAUGAUGUAUAUGAAGUCCCGCUAGUUGAUGAGAAUUCUAUGAGUUGUUUGGAGGAGGAGAAAAGAAAAAAGAAUAAGUUGAUAUGGGAAGAAGAGAAUAGGCUUGGGAAGCCUGAUUUGUUCAUAGCGGAAACUUGGGGAUCACAUGGUGAUGAGAGUGAGUUGGUAAAGAAAUUGUUGCGUAACCAAGAAAAGGGAUUACCCCCAACAAGAGAAGGGACGAGUAUUGAAUGCAACCUUGCUCUUGUUCAUCCACAAAUCAGCAUUUCUGAGAAUCAACCCAAGAUUCAACAGCGCAGUCGAAGAACUGAGCCACUUGAGGCAGAGAAAAAUAGUACAAGGCAUCACAUCGUUGCAGGUGAAAGGGAAGAGCAAAUGAAUUUGUUGAAGAGCAGUGUUGCUGACAUUCAACCUGAGUUCGAACUGCUGAGACAAAGAAUUGAGCGACUUGAGUCAGAGAGAAACAGCUCAAGGCAUGAAAUUGUUGCCCAAGGGGGAGAGGAAUUGACAUUGUUGAAGGAGAUACACGAGCAACUCAAUUCAAUACAGAGCGAAAUGAGAAGCUGGAGGACUAAGCAAUCCUCUCGCAAUAAUCCAUCCAUUCUUUCUCUCCAAGAGGUAUGCCUCGUCCUCUCAUUUUCAUGCUGCUCUUGACAAUGAAAUUUUGCUUUCGCUUCAAAUGUUGAUAACUAGAUUGAUAUGUACGGACAGGCUAUGCUGCACUUUUGGCUUUAAUCAAGCAACCAACUUUUUGAUUGUGCCUCAUAGAGCCACUGCGAACUUGUUCUGCCAGAGUGCCUUGUACAUUUUUCUUAUGUAUCCGAUCAAAAUUUUGAAUAGAUAAGUGGAUUGUGAUAUCUUUUGUCAUAAAUUGUAAAAUGUAGAAACUGCAUACUGUAUACUAAUUACAAGAGAAGAGGUGUGUGUUUUUUUUCUUUUUUUUGGUCUUUUGUUUGGGGGGUGGGGGUUGUGUGGGAGGAUUUUUAAAGAAUGGUUUGGUGUAUUUUGUUCUUCUUCUGAUUUCAAUACUGUGAUUGUUGCUUGCAAGUAAAUAUAAAACUGGAGUACUCUGUUUUACCAACUUGGGUGUGUUGGUAAGGAUUUUUCUCUUUUCUCCAGCGCGUGAGAGGGAGAGCGAAUUAGUAAGAAAAUCCAAAGAGAAAGCCGGUGUCCUGACAAUCAAGCCCACAUAAUAACUUGGGCCUUUCUAAAUUGUCAAUUGAAGACCCAACAAUACGAAAACCAAAGCCUGUUCCCAAAAGACCCCCCUCUUGCCCUCCAGUUUUACUUCUUAAUUCGCGUGGUCGGAGAGAGAGCAACUCAAAAAUCAAAAUAGGUUGUAAUAAGAAGUCAAUGAAGUGCCUGUGUUCACAUUUUCUAUAAUUAGAUUGCAUUGCAAUCCACUUGGAUCUUAUCAGAAGCAAAUUGGAAUACGUUAUGUUGUUUCCUAGUAUUACUACUUGCAAGCCAUUUGUGGUGAAAUUGACAAGUAUUUUUAAGAUUGCCCGAUAAAACGAUCUUGAAUUUUUUUUUUAAUAAUAAAUAAUGAAAAGAAUGGGCAGUAGAUGGCAACUUAACUAACCGGAUUUGAAUGGUGUUACGUGGUCACUGCCUACACGCCCAUACAAAGUAACAGUUCUCACCGUAUACCAGGAACCGGUGUCAUCAUUCAUAAGGAAACUUCAAAAUGUAGAUUGCCAUAACAGUAUUGAGAGUAACAGUUGUUCAAAAUGUAAACUUGACAACACUGCCCUCCAAACAGUUGUUCAUAUCCUGGUUCUUGAUCAAUCCGCUGCAAUUUCAAGAAAAUGUCAACAAUUCAGUCAAAAGAAAGCAUAUGCAUUGCAUACUCGGCAGUAAACCAGCGGGACUCAGUAGAAAAUAGUAAACCGAAAUGAAUGUUUUCUGGCUGUCUCCCCUUGUUUCUACAGAAACAAGUGAAACGUCAGUAAAAUUUGUAUGGAUUCUGUAGGAGAGAUCAUUUAUAUAUGGUUAAUUUACAACUGUUGUUGGAUGGUCUAAGGAAUUGCUUUAUGUUAGGGUAACCAAAGAGCAUCAACAUCUCCAUAAACGAAAACAACUCUCCGUGGACAUGGAGCAUUUAUCGAAGACAUAAGGAACUGGAUUAUGCUCGUAAGUAAAAGAAAGUGAAUUUGGACUAUCAAUGUCAAUUGCCUUCAAAUUGGCACAUUCAACAAUCCAUAACCUCUUAAGUCGAUUUCUUGAAAUCAUAACCUUUUCAAGGCCAAGACAGGACGCAAUGUACAGUUCCUCAAGCAAGGGAAACUUUGAAAUAAAUGCAUGAAACUCUUGGUCCUUAACAAUGUCACCUUUUGACAACACUUAAAAAUGUCAACACCACCACCAAAGAAAGAAUCAGAAGAAUCCAAAGAAUGGAACACUAAAAAAUUACGUAGUUCGGUUCCAAAUGAACCUACAGCCACGGCUAAAUCCCCAGCAAGUAUUAAGGAAUCAUUGUAGUCAACCUUUGCUUGAUUGUAUAUCAUCUAUUUUUGGUUGUAAAUAUUUUAUUCUUGGAUAGUUACAAUAUUCUAGAAAGCUAGCAAUAGGUGAAUUAUUUAUUUCCCUUUCUAUUAUUUAUUUCCUUUUCUAUACAAACAUGUAAACUGUAUAAAUUGUAAUUAUAUUGUUCAAUGAAUUCUGGUCAAGCCAUUUUUCCCAAAUCUAUAUUAUUCUCUAAAACCUUUCAGCAAGGGCUAAAGCUUUAUUGAUUAAUGAUGAUUAAAAAUGGAAGCUCAAGUGAUACAGAUUAAACCUCUCAUGAACUUAGAGUUUUCUAUCUGUCGCUCUUGAACAUUCUAAUCAUACUCUCAUAUGCCUCACAAAUCGGCGUAUUGUUUCAUUUUACAUGUGCACCCCUGUAAUAGAAAUAAGCUGUUAACUUUUAACUGCUUAAUCACUCGAGCCCCACAAAUGCCAAGUCAGCUAACCAUCUCAGCAACCUCAUAACAGAUUAUAACUAACUGGCUUCACAUAGUCAAAUGUGGACACCAGCGAUGUCAAUCACACACGAACCCAUUCUCCGAUUCUGAAGCUCUAGGCUAAAUUCUUGAAGACUUGGAACAGCAAUUUUAAUACUUUUAGGACCUUCUUCAUCUUCUCUGGAUAGAUAAAUGUACAAAACCUUGAGUUUGAGAGGUUUAGAGAUCCAAAAGCAUUUUAGCUUAGACCCCUUAGACCAGCAAGGCUUGCGAAUAUCCUAAAUUUCUGCAUAUGAAACAUAAGCUUACAGUACUUAAGCAUAGUUCCAUGAACAAAGCAUGCAAAAUCCAAAGUACGGUUAUAAAUUCCAUUACGAGUUUGUAGAUCUCUUCCUACAAAAUAAGUUUGAUCAAAAUCCAAGGUGGGGAAUGAGUCUCUCAAAUACUUCCAUCUCUUCGACAAAACACUAGUUUUUGCCAUCUCCUUUUGGGUCGAGGUAUAAUAUAAUGUGGUGAAUUAUAAAAGCGGGCAAGUCCGAGAUUUGAUCCAUUUCAUCAGUCUUGUCAUUUAUAAUUAUGUUCAAAUCUGCAAUUUACAUACGUUUCCAUCACUAAUGCAAUUAAUAAUUCAUGCUUUUUUCAUUAGGAGGAAGGUAAAUAAUUAAACACAUAAAAAACAUAAACAAGAACCCUAAAACAUAUAUAGAAGCAAAUGAAAACCAAAGAAAAAGAAAUAAACAGAAACAAGUAGAGAAAUAAUUAUGAUAAACAAAGAACAAAAGGGAAGAAGAAAAUACAAAAGCUGCUAAUAUUGCUCUUCACCACUUAAAUAUGCUUAUAACAACCAUUAUAAGUGUUUAUCAUUAGGGAUAUUAUUAAAUAUAUACAAGAUGUUUCUUGAUAUAUCACUUUACGAUCUAGAUUUUCUGACAACUACUUUUUAUUAUUUAUUGUUCAUUUGUUAUAAUGUAUCUCUAAAUAAAUAACUUUCAUGCAUAUAGACCAAAUGCAGUUGACUUAAAUCUUCAGCAAAUCAUGAGCAAAUCUUUAGGCCUAUAAAUAUUGUUAACUAAUUUACUGCUAGUAAACAAGCUAAAUGGAGCGAUAAACUAACACCGGCGAUGGUUCUCCAUUUAUAUUGCAUACUCCUUCACUCCUCAACUCAUCCAAAGUUCUCUCACAUUGGCAAAAGGCACGUGAUAUUAUAUAUGCCAUUCAAGAAUGUAUAAAUUCCUUUGUCUCAAGUAGCUGACUUUUUUUUUUCACGUUUAUGGAAAUUUCGGCAGCACCUCCCUAUAGUUCUUCCAAGUACAUACACAACAUAGAUAUAUGAAUGUUUUAUGUAUUAUGUCAAAAUAACACACGACGCCCAUUCAUCUAGUAUGUACUCAUAGAACGUGAGGAGCAGCUGCAGAAAAAUUCUUUAUUACGUGGAGCAAAGCUUCAUCUACUAGCCACUGUAGAAAAUCAUGCAUUCCCACACUAUGUAGAUCGAGACAAUUCAAAAAUUAUUAAUAAAUAUACUAAUCAUUAUCAUUCUAAAAUGACACUAAUAAAACAUGUAUCUAUUAAUCAUUCUUUAGUGGGUCUAACCUUUCAAUGCAUGUAUCGAAAAAAAAAUAAAAAUAAAACCGACCUAAAAUUUGAAUAACACAAAAAAUUAUAAAUAUCUUAGUUUUCUGAAAAUUACUUUUUACCACCUAAUAUUUCAAUUGUUAUCUUUUACCACCAAAUAAGUAUGAUUCAUGCAUAUAGAUUGAAUGCAGUUGGCUUAGAUCUUUAACAAAUCAGGUCAGCCAUGAAAAAUAUCUAUAUGUCAUCCAAAAAUUGUUAACUAAUUUACCGCAAGCAAACAAGGAAUUGAUACACUAACACCGGAGAUAAUCCUCUAUUUAAAUUGCAUAUAAACGAGCCCAGAUAGGCAAAAUCACAAGCUCAGAACCACCUCAGCGUAGCAAAAUCAUAAGCAGCUACAUCCUUCCAACUGAGCUCCUUCACUCCCCUUCAACUUAUCCAACAUUCUCUUUACAUUUACAAAAGGUAGGUGGUCCUAUAUAUCGAAUUCAGAAUUGCAUAAGUUCCAACCAACUCCACCACUACCACCCUGCUGCUCGGGAAAAUAAAGAAACCCUAAAUGAUAUUUAAGAGUUUAAAAGGGUUAGUUUCACUUUCAUGUAUUUUUUUUUUCUUUUUCAGAUUUCGUUACAGUGAUUUGUAACUCGGGCUUUUUCAAAUUGCCAAUUGAAAACCCAGCAAUAUGAAAAUAAAAUCUAUUGCAACCCCAUCUAUUGUCCACUAAUUCUCCAGUUUUCCUUAAUUCACGUAGCUGGAGUAAGCAACCAAAUACUUGCUUAUAAUAAUAAAUAAUUUUAUACUAAAAAAUAAUAAUUAAUAAUUAAUCUCGACCCUCUUCUUGUCAAAACUUUAUUCCUAAUUAGGUCCCCCAAGGCGAGCGAGCGAAGUGACGUUUUUCUUUCUCUGUCAGGGGGAAAAAAAAAGGAUUUAUAGAAUCGGAUGCAUAACAAGAAAAGAAAGGAUAGUAGUGGUGCCCGCGCCCCAACUACUGGAGCAGUCGAUCUCUACAGCUUACCCGAUCAAGUAGAUCGCUCGUUAUUCACUAUUACUUAAGAGAUAAACGAGCAACUCUUCGCCAUCUUCGGGUAUCACCCCUUCGACAUAUAAGCACUUUUCUUUUCUUUUCUUUUUUUUAAUUAAAGAAAUUACAAGAAAACAAAUAAAAAUUUGAAACACUUGUUAUUGAUCUUCUGGUGAUCGGCAAGUGCAUCAAAAUAAAAAAUUUGUCAGUAAUUUUUUUUAUAAAUAUUUUAGUGACAUCUUCACUUUAAUUGAUAUUACAUAUUUGUCAUAUAAACAAAUAAGUAAAACUUAAAAAUGUCUGAAAAAUUUUUAGACUUGACAUUUAACAAAUAAGCUUAACUUUUGGAAGAAUCUACAUUUUUACAUCUGAAUUUCAGACAUAUACCACUUAAUAAAAAAUAACUUGACUUUUAUCCGAGUUGAAAAAAUUCUAAUAGUUAGAAAUCAACUAUAAACUUUAAAAAUACACUUAUAUUUAAUAGGUUUAUUUCCAAUCCAAUAAAACUAAUUUCUAUUUUACUCUUUCCAAUUGCCGUCUUGUGUAGAUUUAAUAAUUGAAUCAACCGAUUUUAUAAAAUCUACAUUUUUGGACUCCACUUUGUACUUAUCUCGGGCUCUUUUGUUUAUAGCUACUAUUUUGAAUCAAACAUUUUAUGAAAAUUAAUACGUUAGGAUGUAGCUGUUCUUUUUAUUCCUUUGAAUAUUUUAACUUUUUACAAUUAAUAAUAUUUGUAAAAUGCUAUAUAUCUUACUUGAAAUUGUUAAUUGAUUAUAUGUUAACUUGUGCGAUUAAGCAAUACACACACACACACACAAACAAUAUAAUUAACAUUGCAUUUUUUUUUUAGCUGCAACAUUGAAAUGUUAUAAUUAGUAAUAAAAUGACUUUAAUUUACUUACCAUCUUUAACUUAUCAAAAUAUAUAAUAAUUCAAUUUUUUUAACACUUAUAUUAAUUCAAUCAUUAAAUAAGGAAAAACAAACAUGUCAUUUGGAAAUUUAUAUUCAGACAUAUUUAGACUUCAAGCAAAUUUAAAUUUAUUUAAAUUUUAGAUUAAAAAAAAAAGAAAAUGCCAACUUAAUUGUCAUGGCAUGCAAAUUAUGUUAAUAUCUUCCGUUGAAGGAAACAUAACCUUAAUUUUAAUAGCCAUGAUAUGAUGUGCAUACAAUAAUCAGCAUGAAUAGGUCACACAAAUGAAAGCUACAGCCAAUUCUGAUGACUAAGGACAAACGUACACAUGAAUGAUCUGCUAGUAUUUGAUUUCUGGGAAUAUAAUAUAAUGCAGGCCAACUGCCGACUUUAUUUAAAUUAAUCCACGUGAAGCUGUGUAGAUCGUUGGGAUCUUGCCAGACAGAAAAAUUAUUAAACAACACAAACAUAAAAGAUUAUUCGGAAGUAAUUCUGAGGUGGAUUACAUGAUCAGAGGAUGAGAAAUUCAUUCCUCAGUUUUUAAACGGAAAUUGAUUCUCAUAGAUUAUGAGAUUUCGCAUGGUACAGUUCACUAUUUUAUGUAAUAAAUCUGACUAGUUCUUAUGAACACUGAAAACUGUGCUACUGCAUAUUCUUAAUUACAUGGUAAUUAAAUAACAUUAUUUUCAUCAAUUCGUGUGAGAUACUUUCAUUACCAAGAGUUCUUCAUACUUAAAGAAACUUUAAUGUAUUGAUUACAAAGUUUUGUUGAAGGCUUUAAGUUUCUAGAUCGAAUUUGUUGUCCUUAAGUAAAUCUUCCCAAGGAGAAGAUGACUGUCAUAAAAAAAUCCUGAUUAAUUAAAAAAAAAUCCAAGAUUUGUAAAGAUCAUGCUGGAGAAGUUGCUAGUGCCAUUUGUGAUUAAUUUUUUAGAUUAUGUUAAUUAUAUAAUUAACAAAUGAAAAGUAAGAAGACCGAGCGUGAUUGUGAUAUUGGUAGGUUAUGGUGAUCGAAAAAGACCUCAAGACUAUAUAGAUAUAUUCUGCAAGUGUGUUUCAGGUAGUUAAGUAGAUGACUUGAGAUGACAACAUAAAUUUUAAAGCACAAUCAAUAAAGUAAUUUCUCUGAGAUUGCCUAAAUUAUAUAUAUUAUGAGGUGCAUAUAUUCUGUAAUGAAUAUGAUGUAGUUUUUCAUUUUUUGUUGUUCUGCUGCUAGUUAAUUGUUACCACUUACCAGUAGUUAAUUCAAUCCGUCAUUUUAAAAAAAUAAUAAUAACAAUUGUAUGUAUACACAAAUAGAGACACAUUAGCUUUACUACUGAAUAUUAAUUUUAAAAGUUUACUUGAUAUAUGGUUCAAAUUUUUAGAUUAAUCGAUUUUAUUAACAUUGUUUUAGUGCCAAACCCAAUUCAAAAUUAAGUGAUUCAACCAUCCGUUUUAGUUAUUAACUUAUGAGAUUGAGUGUCGUCCGUAUGUCUGUACAAAACUUCUUCUAACUUUAAGGGUAUUAUUCCCCCUUUUUUUAAAAAAAAAAAAAAAGAUUUUUGACUAAAAAUAGUUAGCUGUUUUAAUAAUUUUUAAAAUUAAAAGUAUGGAUUUGAUUUUUUUCACAAGCAUAUCUAAGUGGAUGAAAUUGUUUGUAAUUUGUUUAUGUCCACUGCCUAUCCUUUAGUUGCCUAUGACAAUUUUACCUAAUGCAACAAGUGCAUCUAGCUGAUUCUUUCUCCUCAAUUAUGAGAUUAACUAGAGGUGAUGCUCUUAAGUCCAUUUUAUUCUUAAAUUUGGAGCGGGAGUAGGUGUAUAUAUAAUACCCCUACAUGGCCACUAGCAAAUUCUCUUUCAACGUAUGGUAGGCCAAAAGACACCCUUUUUGAGCAAUUUCAUUCAGAAAUCACCCUUUUCUAGGCUUACCACAUAUAUUUGACAUAAUUUUUUAAAGCCAAAAAAGCAUUAGAUCAAUCCCUAAAACUGAACAAGAUUGGACGAAAUUAAGAAUGAUUCACAGCACACAAACUUGAUUACGCAUAUCCCAUUAAACCAUUAAAUAUUGCACAAAAACAAAGGCUAUCUUUGUUGAUUAAUUGGUCGUAAUAAAUAAUAUUAAAGAUAUGCAACUUUUGAUUGUUAAUAGAUAAUUAUAAAAGAGAAUGCCUGUGUUUAUUCUCGGUGGAUGUCAUAUUAUUGAAUUUUUUUUUUUACUUGUUUCAUUCCUCUCAAAAGAUAACAUAAUUAAUUGUGAAAAUAAUGGCAAAAGAAUCAUUUAAGAUGUAAUAUUUUAAAUUUUAAAUUAAAUUUAAUACAAAUCAUUGAGACUAACAAAAAAUAAAAAUUGUAAGUGUUGUUUCGGUAAUUGCAUAGAACUAAUCAUUUUCAUCUUCUCCUCUAAUAAAUAUUGCUUAUCUUAAUUUAAUUAAUACUAGGAUCUAUUUAUUUUAGGUAUAAAUAUUACUUAUUUAAAAUCAUCUAAAGAGGGAUAGAAUAGUAAAUAAAAAAAUGUUAAUUUUAUAUGUUGGGUGCGUUUGGGAUUGAUGUUUGACUAAAUGUUUGGUAAACACUAACUGCUGUAGCUUGGAAGAUAUGUUAAUGUAUUUUUUCACUUGUAUCAAUUUUUAUAUCUUUAAUAAUUUUGUCAAAAUUAUUAUUUAAAAUUUAUAUUUACUACAUAAUACUAACUUUUGUUUCAUAAUUAUAUUUUUUUUCCACAACAGCUGCAGUUUAAAAGUUAUAGCACUUCAAUCUCAAACACACCCGUUAUCUCUUAAUGGGAGGGAUGAAACAUGUAAAUUGUAAUUAAAAAUAUGAUACAAAUAUAAGUGGUAAAUAUGACAUUUAUCAUAACUAAAAUAUGCAUUCUUCCUAAUUAUAAUCCACUUUUAUAAUAUGUAACAUAUCAAAUUGUGUUCAUCUCAGCUAUGAAAGUUGCUUUAAUAUUUCAAGCAACUACUAAAUACGAUAUUAUGAUUUAAGACUAUAGCUACUAAAAAAUUAUUAAUUACAAAAUAAAAAAGGGUUGAUGUUUGAUAACUAUUCUUAUAGGUAAAUUAAUCCGAGGUUUACCAUAAUCUAGCUAAGUUACAAAUAAGCCGUUAAUGAAAAUGAUAUGAAAUAAUUAAUUAAUAAGCAACUUUGUAACUCGAACUGGUGCUAAUUAGUUAUUAUUGGUUCAAUUAAUUAAAUUUAUUUGAUUGAUUACAAAAUUUGGGAUUUGAACUUCUCUUAACAUGGGUGGAGAAUAUUUUAAUUUUCAGUUAUGUUAUGCUUAAAAACUUUUAUGAAAUCAGCGCCACUCCAAUGAAUCAAUGCAAUUAUUAAUUAUCAAGAAUAAACAAAAUUCUAUUUCAACGUGGGAACUUAUUUUUUGCUCAUUGCAAUAUGAUCUCAAUAGAAAAGGUAUUUGCCUUAACCCUUGAGAGCAGCUUCUUCAAUCAAAGAGGAAGGACUAGACAGAUACUGCUUGAGCCUGCCCAUUUCGUGGGCAACAUCAAGCAUGCUUGGCCUAGUUGAAGGAUUGUAUUGAGUACACAAAAGGCCGAGUUCAAUCAACUCCAAGACGACAUCGCUCCAUACCUUGUUAUAAUAAAUUGGCAUGUGCUGCGGUGCAUAUUUAGCAAUUGCUUUUUCAACUAUUGGAUCUAGCCUGUGCGGGUAGUGGCGUUUCACCCAUUCAUGCAAGCUUGAACCGUCGUGAAAUAGCACGUCCGUUGGGCGCCUUCCCGUCACGAUUUCUAGUAAGAGGACGCCGAAACUGUAAACGUCUCCAUGAGUCGAUGCACGUUUACCCAUUCCAUAUUCUGCAUUUUAUAUGAAAAUUCUCAGAUACAUACAUUUCAUAUUUUAAUAAAAUGUAGGCAUACUCAAAAAAAAAAAAAAACUCAAAAUUGACGUGUAAAGAUCAAAUCAAUUUCUUUUAUAAUGUGUAAAUACGAAGAGACUUACAAUUUGGUAAUUAUUUAGAACCUGAAAUGUUAAACUUAUAUGAUAUAUUACUUAAAAUCUGAAACAUUAAACUUAUAAAAUGAUCAACAAUGUAAUAAAGAAGGGAAAAGGAUCAGAGCUACGUACCAGGAGCAAUGUAACCGACAGACCCACAUAGCAAGCCAUCUGUGGAGGUAAAGGACAUUGAAUCAUUGGCACAAUUAACACUCUCAUCAAUGCCUUUAACCAGUUUUGCGAUUCCAAAAUCAGCUACCAAAGCUGUCAAGUCUUCAUCAAGCAGAAUAUUACUUGGUUUAAGAUCACAGUGCACAACUUUAAUAGGAGAAUGAUGGUGCAAAUAGGCCACUCCCUCAGCAACAUCAGAGCAAAUUUUCACAAGCUGAAUCAAAUCCAACCCAUGACUCAGCCCAUGGCUUGGGUACAAAUGAUUCUCUAAGCUUCCAUUUGACAUGAGUGGAAGAACCAGAGCCUUAAAAUCUGGCUUGCUGCAAAUUGUGAUGAUUCUGAUCAAAUUCCUGUGCCUGAUUCUUUUCAGAAUUUGGCAUUCUCUCUUGAAACUUCCUGUAAUUUCUCCAGCUGUCGUUAAGUCCAAAACUUUAACGGCAAUUCUUGUGUUGUCUUGAAGGACUCCCUUGUACACAUGGCCAAAUCUUCCUGAACCAAUUAAGCUUGAAGGGCAGAACCCUCCUGUAGCUUCAAUGAGUUGUUUGUAUGAAACUCUGGGGUUCUUGGCCUCUUCUUUUUCUUUUUCUUCAUCUUCCAAAUCAGCUCCAUUCAAUACUGACAAAUCCUUCCCGAAUUUUGAUCUGAGUACUAAAAAGUUUCCGAAUAUGAACAGCAACGACGUCGCAAACAGUGAGAGAAGGAUUGAUAAGAUAACCAGAUGAUGAGUAUGCUCCUUCUUGCAUGUUUGCAAGCCUUUUAUUUCCCCACAGAGGCCAUCAUUCCCCUGGAAAGAGGCUAUGGUCAGCGAUGAGAAGGCCCCCUUGUUUGAUAUGUUCCCUGAGAACUUGUUGAAAGAGAAGUUGAGUUGCUUGAGAGUCGGUGAUGCUUGAAAAGAUUGUGGGAUUUCUCCAAACAAUCUGUUUGAUGAAACAUCAAACUGUUUGAGGUAAGGCAACUGUCCUACAGAAACCGGCAGAAGGCCUUCUAAUGAAUUUCCAGAAAGAUUGAGAGAUUCCAGGGCAAUGCAGCUUCCAAGCUGCGGAGGAAUUGAGCCUGAAAGAUUGUUGAAAGACAGAUCAAUUGCUAGCACCAUGUCCAUUUUGCUCAGCUCCAAUGGCAAAGGACCAUCCAAAUGAUUGCUAGACAAGUUCAAGUACAAUUUCAGGCUUCUCAGUCCUGCAACGUCACUAGGAAUGAUCCCUGAAAUUUUGUUGUGAGAGAGGUCUAGGAUUUCCAAAUUGACACAUUUUCCUAAACUUGAUGGUAUUGUUCCCGAAAGGUGGUUUCCAUAAAGCAAAAGUCUUCUAAGCUGGGAAAGGUUAGCAAAACUAUCCGGUAUGGAACCUGAAAGCUUGUUUUUGGACAAAUCCAAAAGACCAAGAUGAGGAAUGUCACCAAAAGCUGAAGGAAUUUCACCAGAGAGUGAAUUAUUUGACAAGUAAACCCUCUCCAGCUUGCUCAUUAGACACAACUCACGUGGGAUUGUUCCAUUCAAGAGGUUACUAGACAAAUUCAAAAGGGUGAGAUUGACAAGAUUAGAAAUGUGAGGAGGGAUUUUGCCAUAGAUAAGAUUGCAAUCGAGAUGAAUCUGUACAAGAUUGGUAGAAAGAUCACCAAUAAUAGAAGGUAUCAUUCCACCAAGAUUGUUACCUGCUAAUUCUAAUUCUUGAAAAUUAGAGGAAUUAGCUAAAGAAGCAAAAAAAGGUUCAAGGUUAGUGUUACCAUCGUGGCUGACAAAAUCAUUGUAGGACAAAUAGAGGAAUUGCAACUGAGGCAUUUUGCUUAUAAUCUCUGAAGGCAGCUCCCCACUAAACAUGUUGGACUCCAAAUCAAGCCAUUCGAGUUUCGAAGAGUUUGCAAGGGCUUGAGGAACUUGGCCUACUAAUCUAUUAGACCAAAGAAGAAGAAACCUCAAGUUUCUCAGCUCGCAUUCAUUCUUCAGAGGAAUUUCGCCAGUUAGAGAGUUGUUUGAGAGGUCUAUGUAUUGCAAGGAAGUAGAAGAGUUGCUGCAAAAAAGUGGUAUAGGGAUUUCUCCAACAAGCUUGUUGUUUCCCAAAUCAAGAUACUCUAGUUGAUGAAGUGACCCCAAUUGGGAUGGAAUUUUCCCUUGGAGAGAGUUCCAGGAUAGGCUAAGUUGCUUAAGACGAAUGAGGCUGCCAAGCUCAGCCGGAAUGUGGCCUUGAAAGAAGUUUUUUGACAAAUCAAGAACUAUUAAAGAGGAAAGAUUUGCAAGAGCAGGGGAAAUAGUGCCAUAGAUAAACCUUGCACUGAGGUCUAACUCCACUACUUUGUUUCUAGAAUUAUUGCACUUCACCCCGGACCAGUUGCACACAUGAACAUCAGUUGAAUUCCAGCUCUGAAGAGCAUGUUCCGGGGCCGAAAUGAUACUCGACAUGAAUGUAACCAAUGAAGCUCUGUCUCUAAUGAUUUGAUCAUCAUCAGCAUUGUCUUCUCCAGAAACAACAAAGAAGAUGAUGACCGAACAUAGGAAGCAAAACAAGGAAAAUUUACAAGACCCCAUUUGUAAAUUUUUUACCAACAGUUGCAAGCACUAAGUGCGAGACAUUUGUUUCUUAAGAAGAUUAUAACAUGAUGUUGGGAUUAAUAUAUCUAAAUCUAAUUAGCAAAUUGCUCGUGUCAUGGCUGUGCCUAACUGCCGUUUGCUUGUGAUAUUUGACUAAGAAUCUAACCAAUGGGAGUUGAACAAGUGUGAUAGAGUGGCAUGACGAGUAACCAAAAACGUUAGAAGCCGGUGAAGCCAGCAAGUUUCAUAGUAUUAGCGGCGUACAUGUCGGCCAAAACUCAAGGCCUAACACUUACUUUUUGGUGGUUGUUGUUUUGAUGUGUGAUUGCUUGUGAAUUUGAGGUGAUGAAUUAGUGGAUGCUGCGUUGUUAAGGAUAAUCUAGGUUAAUAGGCAUGCUUAGGCAGAUGAUUUGGCAACUGGGUGCUUGGAUUUUGGUACACUUGUCGGCUACAGUUAUGCGUUUUUGAGCACAAACUAAAAUUAUGUCAUUUUCUUGGUAAAGAGAGCGGUAUGAACUUAACUUCAUUGGGUAUUGUAGCAGCUUUUUGCCAGUAAUUAACUAGAGUUUGAUAGCUUAACGUAGGUGAAUUAUUUUUCUACUAAUAGUACUUCAAAUCAUUAUUUUUCACUUCAGUUUGCUAAAUUUAUGGUAGAAACCCAAACAGUAAAAGGCAAAAACCAUACAACUAUAUAUCAUUUCUGAUGAAUGGCAUUAAAAUCUUGAUCAGCCUUAAGAAAUUAUAAAAAAAUUCUUCAAUAGGGUAAUUAGGCUUAGGAAGGUGAGAUCUUUUUUACUUCUAAUUUAUUACUUUUUUUUUUCCCAAAGAUAAGCUUAGCCUUACAAACUUAAUCAUUUAUAUGGUUUGACAUAAAUCCUUCGGUCAAUAUCAUGACAAGAAAUAUCUCAUAAACAGUGCAAGUCAACAAGAGGAAAAAAAAAAGGUUAAAAACUAAGGUAGCGUUUACUUUUUGGAUUUGAUUGGGAAUCCAGAGGAGUGGGAAUCCUAGGAUUGGGAGUGUAGAGUGGGAGUGGGAGUAGGUUGUUUACUUACACUGGAAUGGAAACAUGGAAUAGAGAUCAGAAUCCAAUUUAUGUGUUUACUUUGUCUUGGAUUGGGAGUAAAUUGUUUCAAAUUACAAUUUUAUCCUUAUUUAAAGAAUUAUAAUUUUUAAUUACAAAACUAAUAAAAAAUAUAUUUAAUGAAUAAUAUUUAUUUUAUUAUAUUUGUAAAUUUAUUAUAAUUAUUAAUAUUCUUAAUUAUGAACAAUAAAUUAUUAAUUUUAAUACAAAAUGAAACCUUAUUUUAUUUUAUUUAAUAUAAUUAUAUUAAAUUUAUUAUUAUAUAAAAUAAUAAUAUAAUAUUAUUUAGUACAAAAUUAAUAUUUUCUUAGAAUAAACUAUUUAUCUGCUGUACCGUACAUCCGCCUUGGCCGUACAGCAGUGACUGAUUGGCUGGUCUGACACUGGGGCCCACGGAGUGGGACUCCCAAUCCCUCCCCAUUUUAGGUAAGUAAACGCUGGAGUGGGAGGAAUCCACACUCCUCACUCCCACUCCAGCAAAUAAACACAACAUUAAGUCACUUUUCAUGUACUCCCAACAAUACUAAUUUCAAAUAAGUAAGGAUCAUAAUCUAUUCUUCGUAAAAUACUAUUAUGUAUUUUGAUUCGUUAUCUUACUUUUAUAUUAAUUAAGCCUGUUUUGGAAGCCAGGGCUCGUAAUGCCCUAUACUUUCUGAUUGAGCUCUACUGUCUUUGAUUUAUAAAAUAGUUUUCGUACCAUUAGUCAAGGUUAAAGUGUAAGACCCUGGGACUAUCUAGAAAGCAUGCCUUGGUGAUGAUUUCUUGGCCGAACAAGCGAUAAAUGUUCGACAGGCUUGAUAAAUAUGCAGAAUUUUUUAUAUUAAAUUAAAAAAAAUGCGCAUGCAGCUAUCCAGAGCCGACAAAUUAGGCAAUUACUUAAAACUCUUAAUUUUUUAAGAAGAUCUUAAUUUAUUAAAAAACUAACUACCUAAAUAAAUAGUAUGAAAUUGUAAAGAUGUUGUUACUGAACGCACCAUAAAUUCUUAUAAUUAAAACUUAUACAAAUGUUGAAAGUGAACAAUAAUAUGUAAGCUCAACGAAUACUAACACAUAUAUUAAAUAAAAUAUUUAAGUUAGAAUCAUAAAAAUUUUCAUUAGGAUUAUAAAUAUUUUACUUAAAUAAAUAAUAUAAUAAUUAGACAUCAUCGUGCCAUCAUUUAAAUAAUUUAUUUUUUAAUAGUAUCAUUCAUAUUUUUUUUCAAAUUUAAUUAAUUUUGUAUUGAUGUAACAUAUGAUUAAUAAAUCGCCUAAGGCCUCAAAUAUAUUUGACCCGCCCAUGCAGCUAUCGAAAUAGACCUUAUUGAUAAAAUGGGAAAGUGCAUGUACAAUAGGAAUUAGGAACGUUUGCCCGCUAAUCCAUGAUUAUGUAAUUGAUGAUUAUUCUAAUGUGUAUAAUAUGCUUGCAAGCCUAAAAUAUUUAUUGACUGGAUCCGGAAUCUCGUACAAGCUAAGUGCAUGAUGAUAAAUCAAUCUACUAAUAAAAAUAUAUUGGACGGUUGAAAGGUGGCAAAAAAAGAUGAUAUGGUGCGUGCAUUCAGCAUUAUCUUUCAAGCCAGACUCAAAAAGAUGAGAUUUUGAUGGUCAUUUCAAGAUCUUUUUUUUUGUACACAAUGCGUCGUGCUGCUUGUUAAAAGUUAAAACCAGUACUCAAGUUUUAAUAUAAUUAAACGCAUUAUACAUACGAGCAUGGUUAGAUAUGAUUAGCUUCCAAUCCUUGUUCUUGAAAAUGUCGGGUAUAUUCCAUCAUUAAGUAAAUUUAUCAUACCUUCAUAAUUAGUUGUUAUGCAAAUAUAGAAAACACACAGACAUACUAGAGAUCUUCUAGCAUAUUCUCUUUUGAUAUAUAGAGUUAUUUGUUGAUAAAAAAAAAAAAAAAAAAAAAAAAAAAAAAAAAAAAAAAAAAAAAAAAAAAAAAAAAAAAAAAAAAAAAAAAAAAAAAAAAAAAAAAAAAAAAAAAAAAAAAAAAAAAAAAAAAAAAAAAAAAAAAAAAAAAAAAAAAAAAAAAAAAAAAAAAAAAAAAUGAGUUCUUAAGGCUAGGCUAGCUAGGUUACCUUAAUAUAUAAUGGAUAUUAUUCACUUCCCUCCAUGAACAAUUUGAGUAAAUUAUCCUUAUUUUAAUCCUUUUGGAAUAUGUGAAUAUUAAUUAGAACAUUAUCUUAGAAAUAUGUGAGUAUUUACAGUUAGUUUAUCUCCACUCAAAAUUGGAUAUAUACAUGUAUUUGAUCUUUAAUUAAUUAAAACUUGAAACAUGUAUGCAUGCAAGUGAGCCACCUCAUGGAAUGUACAUUCCAACCUGCUGUACCGUACAUCCGCCUUGGCCGUACUAUUGCUAGAGGAAAUUAGGAUUAUUAUUAAAAUAAUUUUGAAUCAGUGGAAAACUAAAUUAUUUAUAAAAUGAGAUUUUUUUACGAAAAAAAUGUUUAUAAUAUAGUUAAUUUAUUCUAGAUGAUAGUAAAAUUUAAUUAAAACUCUUAUGUAAUUUUUUGUCCUUUUCUUUUUAUUAAUUUUAUCGAAGAAAGAGUUGUAGAUAUAAACAGUGGGGCUUCAAUAGAAUUUUAAAGGGGUUCUGGAAGCUCAACUCGCUCACCCAUUAACGUCACAAUGAAAAGCCUGAAAGGCCUAAAUAAGGAGUAGGUCUUUCUACACUCCUUAAAAUUCCUCAUAAAGCCCCUUUCUUAUUGAAAUUACCGAAAUAGCCGAGGACAAAUUAAUUCAUUUUUUUGUUUUAAAUAAAAAUUUCAUCAAACGCUUAAAUAAACCAUUAUUUUACACCCAUCUCAUUUUGUGAUUUUUAUUUUUAUUUUAAAUUUUAAUUAAAAAAUAUUUUUUAAAAAAAAUUAUAAGAGUUUUGAGCUAUGGAGAUAUAAAUAAUAUAAUAAAAAGAAAAUAAUUAAAGAUUUUUAUGAUUGAUAUGUAUUUUAUAAUAAAUACUUAAAAAAGAUGUUUCUUUUAGGGUAAAAUUUUAUGGAAAGAUGAUUAAUUUUUUUAUAAGAAUUUGUAUUUUAUAAUUUAAAUUGAGGUAUUUUAAAUAUCUAAUUGAAAGGAGGGGUUAUAAGGAUCUUGUACAGCUGUGGAAAGUUUCACUCCUAAAUGAAAGAUUUCGACAGAGGCCUAGCUAUGCCCAUUUUUACAUUUGAUUAUGGGUGAAUGUCAGGAGUAUCCUCUGGGUUUUAUUGAAGUAUCAAACAAGUGAGGAUUAAGAGAGCAUUUUUCAUACUCCCCUUCGUUAGUUAAUUGCUACUUUGCUGCCCCACAUCUGUAAAAACUCGCUCAUAAUCUCCAAUUUCUAUUAAUUUAAGGAAGAAAGUAGGUACAUCAAAUGUGAAGGGUAUGAACCCAUCCAUACAACAAUUUCACAUUUUUCUAAAGCAAGUUUAGCUAGAGAAUGAGUAAUGACAUUACAAGAUCUAUGUGCAUACUUGAUGCUAACUUGCUCAAAUUGUUUCAUUAAACUUUGAAUUUCUGAAGGUACCCAAUAAAUCUCGGUUCUACUGCCCUACCUGUUGUUUACUAAGUUAACCACUCCUUGUGCAUCUGAUUCCACAAUCAAAGCUCGUACAUGUGCAUCUCUAGCAAUAUGCAUGCCCCAUUCCAUGACUUCUGCCUCAGCAAAAGAAACAUCUCCAAAGGAUUUUGAGACCUUAAUUGCAGCUGCUAUCACCUUCCCGCUCUCAUCUCUAAUAAUAGCUCCCAGCCCUGCAAGGUUUGAGCUCAUAAUCUCCAAUUUGAAGUAAGUGUUUUAGCUCUAAUAAAUAGCUUACGCAGUUAAUUUUUAACCGGUUGAUAAUUUUUUUGUAUUAAUAGUCAAACAUAACUAAUGUUUGUUUAUAAAUAAAUAAAUAUAUAUAUAUAUAUAUAAAUUGUCCAAGAGUAAUUGAUCUGAUUUUUAUUUAAAAAAAUAAUUACCAUAGAGGAUAACUGUUUCUGGAUAUUUUUAUUAGGCGGGUCUGAUGAAAAUGUUCAUAAUUUUUGUUGUUAUUUGGCCCAGCUUGCUACAAAAUUUCGAAAAGGACAGUAGAAAAUGAGGGUUCCAGUAACUAGUGCCCCAGAAAAAUCAAGAGUUUAAGAAUAAUAAAAACUAAAAUGUAUUUGUAGGAAAAAAAAUAAAAAAGAGACAGAGACAGAGACUGAAAAUGUACCAAAAAUAUCUUCGAAAAACAGUCCACACAGUGAGGUUUAAGGGAGGUUCUUGAGAUACUCUCAUUCUCCUUUUUUCCUUUUUCUUCUUCUUUCAUGCUCUUCACUCUCCGCUGACACCGAGCCUUAUCUUCACCAACCAAUCUCAAAAAUGGCUUCCGCUGCUUCAAUUUCUCAAAUUCAAUACCCUCCAACAUGUACUACAAGCACAACAACAGCUACCCGAAAAGCCCUUAAUAUCUUCAAUACCAAAAGAGACGACGGGUCGUCCAAAAUUCUUCACUUUUUGCACUCUUGCAGCUCCUCCUCCUCCUCCUCUUCUUUUCCUGUCAAUUUGAAAAGUUCCUCUUCUAACCCAACUCGACUUCGCCCUUUACAAGACUCUAUUCAAAGUAAUUUCAUGGAAAAUAUUGAAAAUUCAGUAGAUUUUCACAUACCCACUUGCGAACAGGAGCAAAUUUUCCAUCAAAGAGUUGAAAACACUGAAACUUGUGCUGAUCUAGUGAUACCCAGAAGUGAAAAUUCAACCAAUCAUCAACUUAUGUGCUUGGAACCGCGAAGGAGAAUUUUUGUGCAGGACCCACCUUGGUUUUCUUCUAUUUUUUUGAAGGGUCUUUACAAGAGAAUCAAGCUACAAGAGUAUAGAGAAAUGAAGAAAAGGAAGUUUAAUUUGUUAAGGAGGAGACAGGUGAAGCAGGAGACUGAAGCUUGGGAGAGAAUGGUGGAUGAGUAUAAAGAGCUGGAAGCAAAAAUGAUUGAGAAGAGGUUAGCACCGAAUUUGCCUCAUAUAAAGGGGCUGUUUUUGGGGUGGUUUGGGCCAUUGAGAGAGGCAAUAGAGAGGGAGCAGAAGAUGCAGAGGACAAAGAAACAGAAGGCCGCGUAUGCGCCUCAUAUUGAGUUGUUGCCAGCUGAUAAGGUGGCUGUUAUUGUGAUGCAUAAGAUGAUGGGUUUGGUCAUGGCAGGGCAUGAAGAUAGGUGUGUUCAGGUUGUCCAAGCUGCAGUGCACAUUGGCAUGGCUAUUGAACAGGAGGUGAGUGUAAAAGCUUCGGUUUUGUUGCUUUUAGUUUGUGUUGGUGAAUAGAGGUUUGCGGCAUACUUGCUUGCCAAAUUUACUUUGGAAUACAUGUGCUUUAGUUAGAAAACCAAAAGAGCAAUAUGCGUAUACUAAAUUUGAGGUGAUGAGGAAAUAGCGGAUCUGCGGUUUUGCAACACUAUACUAAAGUAGGAUUAUUUUUUAUAAUUUCAGUAUGUAUUUCAAUUUUGUAUGUGGCUUGGUCCCUCUAUUGUUUGUUUUUAGGCCAUUCUUCAUUGGUGACUUAUGUGGCCCAACUCAACUAGCCAUCUCUCUAUGCUAGUUAAUUACCGUUACAUGAAUUUUCUGUCUGUCCAAAGCAAAAUGUAGCCUCCAUGUGAUUAACACAAGCUGUUUCUAAUUGGAAACAUGUAGAGUUGUAGAAUGGUCUUAACUAGAUAAGGAUUAUUUAUGUUUCUGACGUGAAUUCCUUCUUCUGUAGUCAGCUUGCUGAUGGAUGCGAUCUCUCAAUUCUUAUUAUUUGGGCACCUGAAAUUUAAUUUGCUGCAAAAGUUAUAUCAGGAGACAGAUUUUGUUUUGUCAGGUCUAUUCACAUGUAUUUAAUUUAUAUCAUUCCAGAUUAGGAUUCAUAGUUUCUUGGAGAAAACUAAGAAUUACAAGAGGAAGAAGAUUAUAGCUGAUACUGAAGAGGUUCUGAGCAAGGAAAAAGAGCUGCUAAGGAAACGGGUUAAUAGUUUGAUCAAAAGUAAAAGGGUUAUGGAGGCACAGAAGCUGCUAAAAAAUGAAGAAACAAAACCUUGGGGUCGAGAUACCCAGGCUAAGGUAGCACUUUUUCUGAAAGGGUUACUUGACCAGGCUUUUCCUUCUUCUUUGUCUUCUUCUUCUUCUUCUUAUUAUUAUUAUUGUUAUUAUUAUUUUCUUAGAAAUAUUCUAUCAUCUUUUGGAUUUUAAUUUUUGAUAUUUUUUCUUCCUGGGAUGUGCUUGUGCAGCUGGGAAGCCGCCUUGUGGAGCUAUUGAUCGAAACAGCUUAUGUACAACAUCCAGUUAACCCGGCAGAUUAUAGUCCACCUGAUGUUCGGCCUGCAUUUAGGCACAGAUUUAAAACUAUAUUGAAGCAUCCAGGGUGAGACUUCAUUUCUAUCUUAUCUGCAGUUCUUCUUCAGAGUUGGAUACAUGUCUCUAAAUUAUGAUCCACCAAAGGAUCUUUUACACAAUGGGGUUGUUGGCCAUUUCUUGGUAGGAUUUGCCUGAAGUCUUGAUUAGUUUUUGAUAGCUUACUUCCUGCAGUUUAUUUUUGGUCACAUGGUGAGGCAUAAGUAUACAGGGUAGGACUUGUGAGGAAAAUUAUUGAUGCUAAUUUUAUGUUUGUUUUUUAUUAUCUGUUGACUGCUAUUUUGAUCUCUUUGGUUUCUGUAGGCAGAAAACUACAAAGAGGUAUGGGGUUGUAGAAUGCGAUCCCCUAGUGCUAGCAGGGCUUGAUAGAUCUGUGAGUUAAGCCAUCUCUUUUCUUUCUGAUCUUCAUAUUUGUUCCAUUUGUAUAAAAAAUUUCGAUUACAAGCUCUUAUUCUAUCUGCCUUCUUAGGAUACUAAAGUCAGACUAUCUGACAUAGUAGUACGUGAGCUCCAAAUCUUAAUAGUUCAACAUUAUCUGUAUUGUGUGUGAACAUUGCGUCCUCUCUAAUAUAGUAUCAUAAAAGACAUCAACACCCUUAUAUGUUAUCUCUGGUUUUCAUUGGAUUAACAAAAAUGAAGAAGGCCCCUUACUCUUGCCAGCUAUCCUUUUUCUUUUGCUAUUUUUUGGGACUUGGCAUUUACUAUUUGACUAAUUUAAUUUGUAAUUGUACUUCUGCAGGCCAAGCAUAUGUUGAUUCCUUAUGUUCCAAUGUUGGUACCGCCAAAGAAAUGGAAAGGGUAUGACCUAUAGAAAAUAAAGCAUCAUGAGUAGCUACAAAACUCAACAUGCCCUUUCAUAUUUUGUCCUUAAAUCCCAUUUUAUCUUCAAAGGGGAAAUAUAAUCGUUGAUUAAAGCAGUCAAAAUUCUAAUGUUUUGAAGAUAGUAAAAUAAAAUAGAAACCUUAAGGACUGCAUAUUCCCUGCCAUGGUUAUUUUAAAUAGCUUUGAUAUUUUACUCUCAAUCAAUUCUGAACUUCUUCCAGAUAUAACAAGGGUGGGUACCUGUUCUUACCUUCUUAUGUCAUGCGUACUCAUGGAUCUCGAAAGCAGCAAGAGGCUCUUAAGAGUGUUACUGGGAACUGCAUGAAGAAAGUAUUUGAGGUAAAACCAAAAAAAAGGGGCAACGGAAGUUCGUUCUUUUUUUCUUUUUUUUAAUAGGUCAGGGUAAAAAACGUCAUGUGGAUUAGAUGGCAAAAGAUUUUAGGGAAAACAUCGGCACCUGAUUUCAAAUAUUUGACAGAGUAUACUUGAGUUCGUCUGUAGCGUGCUGAUGACAAAGGGAAAAAGAUAACACUAGAAGAAUAUAGUUUUCCAGCCGACGUGCUUUUGAAAAGUAUUUUAUAAUAUGUAUCAAAGGAUGCUAGGUCCCUGUAUGUGCAGAUGUAGUUUGGCUCCUACAGUGUUGAGAACUUUGUUCUUCCAGUAUAAUAAAGUGGUGUUCCAAGUUAUUAUUUAAGAUUUUCGUUCUUAAAAUUGAAAGCUUAUUAUGAAUUGUUAAUCACAUACUCUGAUCUAAUUGCUAGCGGUACUUGAACCUCAUAUAUGGUUCCUAUGCAUCAUCAUAUGAAGUUGUUUGACUUCAAUAUUUCCCUGAAAUGGCGGUUAAGCAGGCUCUGGAUACCCUUGGAAGCACCAAAUGGAGGGUGAACAAACAGGUUCUUAGUGUCUUGGAGAGCAUUUGGGUUAGUGGUGGAAAUAUUGCAGGCUUGGUUGAUCGUAAUGAUGUAAGACAAACUUUCAUCUGAAUUCUUUAUGUGAAAAAAUAAUUUGUAUUCUGCUUUCUUUGUGCUGCAUCAACUUCCCUUUUCUUUAUGUUCUCUGGCCGGUCAGUUACAGAUAAGCUGUUGGUAUGCUACUUUAUUUGCUUGAUGUGUGAACUUUUCUUUUAUUUGUCAGCUUGCUAUUUUGUUCAUCUUGCCUGAAUUCUUUCCUUUUUGGUGCUUAGGUUCCCAUACCAGAGAAGCCCCUCUCUGAGGAUAUGACUGAAGUUCAAAAGUGGAAAUGGAGUGUGAGAAAGGCAAAGAAAAUUAACCAAGAGAGGCAUUCUCAACGAUGUGAUACCGAACUUAAGCUCUCUGUAAGAUGUUAAUCCUUCUGAGAUGAUAUCUUUCUGCAGUAUUGGACAACAUAUAGUAAUUUAUGUAAGGACCUCCCCUAUAGAAAAGAGAUGAUAAUGAGUCUGCUCUCUGAGCUACUGAAGUCAUAGCCUGCUUUACUUUUCCAGUUUUUGGUCUGCUAUAGAUCAAGCUGUGACUUAACAUUUAUUUGACACUGUGUUCGCUGUCCGGUCAUAUGAAAUUUUGGGUUUUUAUAAGUUAAAUGUGGCUUUAAAAGAAUGGGAUAUCAGGAAUCCUAUUUCAGUUGGGUUCAGUGACUUAAAUCUUUGAUUUGCAAGUACAUCCAGUUGUACCGUUAAGGUUUCUAUUUGUGAGCAUGGAUGUUGAACAAUAUUGUUCUAAGACAGGUGGCUCGCAGAAUGAAGGAUGAGGAAGGCUUUUAUUACCCUCACAAUCUUGAUUUCCGAGGCCGUGCAUACCCAAUGCAUCCACAUCUGAAUCACCUAAGUUCUGAUGUUUGUCGAGGAGUUCUUGAGUUCGCUGAAGGACGACCAUUAGGGAAGUCUGGGUUACGAUGGCUGAAAAUACAUUUAGCAAACCUGUUUUCAGGUGGUGUUGAGAAGCUUUCACAUGAUGGACGCCUGGCAUUUGUGGAAAAUCAUUUGUAUGAAAUUUUUGAUUCAGCAGAAAACCCUAUUAAUGGAAGCCGAUGGUGGUUAACGGCUGAAGAUCCUUUUCAGUGUUUAGCUGCAUGUAUUAAUCUGUCAGAAGCAUUAAAGAGCUCGUCACCACAUUCUGUCAUCUCUCACCUGCCAAUUCAUCAGGUAAAUGUUUUAAUAGUGUCAUUGAAAACGUAAAGGGGAUAAUGAAAACUUUUACAAGCUGAAAUGUUGCGCAACAAACAAGUAUUAUAAGUCUGCCUAUUUUGUCUUUGUUUUGCAAUUUGUUAGAUUCUAUUUUGACGUUUAUUUUGUGCUUAGUUUCUGCUAUUUCUUUUCCUUUAAAACUAACUCGGUGAUUUCUUUUCUUCUUGUGUAAGCAAGGAUGGUUCGUGCAAUGGCUUACAGCAUUAUGCAGCCUUGGGGAGAAACACUGUAGGUUUUUUCGCAUGCUUUUUAUAUUUUAUUCCUUCUUUUGUUGAAUGAUUAAUAUUUCAAUUAUUCUUCCCCUUUGAAGCUUAUUUAUGUUCUCACCUUUUCUCUUUAUUUGUUGUUCUGUUGUACGUGUUUUCACAGUUAGAAGCAGCUGCAGUUAACUUAGUAGCCGGAGAGAAGCCAGCUGAUGUUUAUUCAGAAAUAGCUGUGAGGUAAAAAAUUAAUUUCACAAUUAGCUCUUAAUCCAAUCAUUGUUAUUAGAUAAACUUGACGGACAUUCAUUUUUCUAUAUUAUUGAGUUUGAAGAGUAUUGUUCAUAAUUUUGACAACGUGUUACAAAUUGAAGGGGGGGUGGGGGGAGAACACUUUUCUGAGAAGGAUAACAAGAGUAAAAAAUUAUUGCACUCUGCUUAAGGGAUAGUGGCAAUUGAAAGUGAGAUUAACUUUAUGAUGUGUGUACUGAACAAGAUCACCUUAAUUUUAAUAGAGGAUUUUAAUAUUUCUCACUAGCGGCAUGCUGUUUAGGCAGUUAUUGUCUUGCUUGUUUAAAGCUAUUAGAUAGAUCAUGUUUGUUCUAUUAUCUAAUUAAUUAGAUGAUCAUUCCAUGUGAUUUUGAUAUUUUUGUUCUCUCUAUUUAAGUACUAUUUUUAUGAUGAAUAUUUUGAUAUGAGACCAAAUUGACUUUAUUUGGGAGAGUUCAUGAUUGACCAAUAUCACUUCAUUUGGGCAGAGUUCAUGAAAUCAUGAAGAGGGACAGCAACAAGGAUCCUUCAAAACAUCCACAGGCUUUAUUGGCCAAGAUUUUAAUUGACCAGGUUGGUCUUUCAAAAUUCUUGACUGGUUUUUUGUUUCUAUUUCUCAAACUGACUGAAAUUUGGGACACUUCAGGUGGAUAGGAAAUUGGUGAAACAAACCGUGAUGACCUCAGUAUAUGGUGUCACUUUUGUUGGGGCACGUGAGCAAAUAAAAAGAAGAUUAGAGGAGAAGGGUCAUAUUACUGAUGAUAGACAGCUGUUUGCUGCAGCUUGCUAUGCUGCUAAGGUAAGCAAUUAACAUGCUAAUCACGACCAUUAAGUUGUUAUUUGAGGGCAUAAUCACUGCUUUGAAUUCUCAUUUUUAUUUAGUAAAUAAAUGAAAAACUUUCAACUUUGUUGUCUUCUAUCCAUAUGGGAUUUUUCCUUUCUUCUUUAUAACUUUACUCCACAGCUCAUUCUUCCCCAUGCACAAGCACAAAAACUUAAUCUCCUUCCAAGAUUUGGUAUUGAGUGGGAUUUGAUCUCUAGACCUCUUGCUGGCUACAAGAGAUCUUCCCAACUAAGCUCGCAGCUAUUUACUUUGGGAGAUUCUUAAUGUGAAUUUAUUCUCAAGCUUAAACAAUCUUUUCCGUAGGUCACAUUGACUGCCCUUGGAGAGAUAUUUGAAGCUGCUCGGAGCAUAAUGGGUUGGCUUGGAGAUUGUGCAAAGGUAUGGCUUUUUUUUUAAUUUAACAUGAAAUCAAGCUGACAUGCUUGUGACAAAUUUCUAGGUUUGAGUUGUGGUAUAGUAAUAUUUUCGCAAACUUUUACAGGUUAUUGCUUCAGAAAAUCAACCAGUGCGGUGGACCACUCCCCUAGGGCUUCCUGUUGUCCAACCCUACUGUAAAAAUGAACGACAUCUUGUGAGUGUUAACUUUGUUGUUCAUUGUUGUGCAUGUGAUCCAACUAUAAGUUGCCACUUUAUAUUGAAAACUUCCAGUGGGAUGUAUCUUUAUGAUCUCAUAAAAGAUUUGAAGAUGUAUACCCAAUCUGCCUAAAUAAUGCUGUGCUUGUAUGGUUACUGAACUUGGCUUGUGGUUGCAGAUAAGAACAUCUCUUCAGGUUUUGGCCUUACAGAGGGAGGGUAAGUCGGUAAGUAUAUUUGUAGUCAAGUGCUGAGCUCUUCUUCCUUUCAGUCCUUUUUGCUGUCUCCAGUAAAAUUCCAUUACCAUGUCAAUUUUCCAGGUAGAGAUUAGAAAGCAAAGAACUGCAUUUCCUCCAAAUUUUGUACAUUCGCUGGAUGGUUCUCACAUGAUGAUGACGGCUGUUGCCUGUAGGGAUGCUGGCUUACAUUUUGCAGGUUUGUCAUUCCAGUCUGCUUUGGAGAGUGUUUAGUCCUUUAAUGCAUUUGAUGAACAAGCAGACACCAAGAAAAAUUGCUUCCCAAGAAAGAUUUGAAUUGAAAUUGUCCUGUGUCAUUUAUCCUUUGGUUUCUUGGAUUUCAGUGGCACUUUUCUGCACCUCCUUUAUUUUUGUUAAUAAUAAACUGAAGGAAUUAGUAUCUAUUAUAUUUCCUUUACAUGAACUUUCUUGUCUAACGAAUCUGUUCUCAGGGGUUCAUGACUCCUUCUGGACACAUGCAUGUGAUGUGGAUGAGAUGAAUCAGAUACUUAGGAAAAAGUUUGUGGAGCUUUACAACAUGCCAAUACUGGAAAAUGUAAGUUUAUAAGGACUUAUUUCUCCAUAUUGAAAGGAGUGCCUGUAGGGUGAACAUUUUGUGUAUGCGUGGUAGCAACUGAGAGAGAGAAUGACUUUCACAGUGGUGGUUUUGCAAAGAUUCUUUUACCGUUUCCUUUUUCUUGGGAAAGCAAUUUAACUAGACAAAAAUGGCACUAGCCUACUUCAUUAGAAUGUUUCCAUGUAGAAAAUCAGUUGCAAAACAGGAAACUGCAUGGAUUUUAACCUCACCAAUGACUCACAUUUUAAAGUUAUUUAACGAAAUAAUCCUAUGUUUAUGAAAGGCCAUAGUUUAGUUGAAGCAAAUGUAAAAAAAAAUUAUGUUCAUUCCUGUUGACUAAUGUAAUUCAUUUCUUAUUGUUCCAGUUGCUUGAGAGCUUUCAGACAUCAUACCCAACAUUGUCAUUUCCUCCUCUUCCUGAGAGAGGCAACUUUGACUUAGAAGAGGUUCUUGAAUCACCAUACUUUUUCAACUAAUUCUCCUCUGGAUACCUGAAAGGUGCAGAAGCAAAGAUUAUCUUCUCAACCCCAAAAGGAUCCUGGAUGCCCUUCCGUGGUAAAGUUGAUACAGAAUUGUACAGAAAGUUGAAGUCUGAAAAUAAAGAGCACAAGAUCACUUUUGUAUUGUAGCCAGGAUAGAUCACAAGAAAUGUCCAUGCCUAUGGCUUAUGGCAAGCAUACGCAUAUGUUCCUGAAAAAUGAGGAUGGCCACCCUGCUGUCCCAUCCAAAUACACAAGCAAACGCACGCAUGGAUCAGAUUACUAGUCAUAAAUUCUCAUCAGUUUGGUGGCUUUUUUGGAGGUGACUGAGAUACUGUCCUGGAUCUUAACAGCAGGUUCUUUUGCAUUUAGCUGUACAAGUUGUUUUGCAUUUAGCUGUACAAGUUGUGAUCGUUGGAAGUCAUUGAUUCAAGUUAUUCUUUUCAAAUGAAGAAAGCGUGAUGUACACUUAGGAACAGAAACUGUGUAACAAUUUUGACUAAGAUAAUGGAAUCACUCGAAAAAUUUACAAGUGUAAUUGAUCGACUCUCCUUAUAAAAUAUAGCAAUUGACUCAUUGGACGGCAGUGGAUUCAACUAUAACCAACAGACUACAAAUAUAAAAAGAUUUACCAGCUGAUUACGUGACAGCAAAUAGUAUUGCACGUUAUAAUCAAUUUUCCCCCUUCCAAUGAAAGUAAAGCAGUAUGCAAAUCCACAACUUAUUUACAUUUGUGAAUGCUGAAUCUCUAAUAAGAUGAAAGGACGUUGCAUUUUGAAGUUCGAAUGUAAAACCAGCAAAUGAAGGCUUUUUCCAAUCAGCAUAACAAUCAUGCCUCUGGAGAAAAGUACGCAUCAGCUUUAAAUCUCAGAUUCAUCAUUCAUUAACCUAACAGGGCGAAUACAUCAAAAUAAUUUCUGUAUUUACAGCAUUUACAAUUACUGGUUCACUAGUCAUCUCCCCAGGCGAACACUGGAGAUGCAGAAGCAACUGCUUGAAUAACAAUGCCAUUCUAUUCGAUUUAUGAUUCAUACUUUACCAGGAAACAGAACGUUUAUAUAUCACAAAUCUACAAUUUUUACUUGAACUGGUGUUGGAUGGCUGAGCAUUAUGUACUCCAAGCAUUUUAUUUGUCUCGCCAUUUGAGUUCGAAGGAAUAAUUUCACUUUCAUCCACUAGCUGCAAAGGUAAAAACUUUUACUUCUUCAUACUUCUGCUAUGAUUGAAACCUUUUGCAACGUGCUCACAAAUUGCCUCAUUACUGAUUUCACUUGUGGCAUAUACAGGAUUUCAAGCUUCAAGGCUAAAAUUUGUGAGCAAGUAGCACACCUGCAAACAGAAUUAUCAAGUCAUUUAGCUAGAAAAAUAAAGGCUAAAAGCUUAUAGUAUGAUUAUUAGGGACAUCCACACAAUUGAAGCAAUCUAAAGUAGACUAGGAAUAUAAGUUAGUGUGCUGCUUGCAGUAAUUUGAAUAUCUUACCAGGACAAUGAAAUUUGAUUCAUUGAGAAAGAUCUGAGGAUCUGAGGCCCAGGCUCUUUCAGGUGUGGAGACAGACAAUAGGCAGAGCACGAAAAAGAUUACAUAGAUCAGCUUAGUCAAUCUUGUAAGCCGAUCUGCUUCAUCCACAAGGACCACUUAAUGGCCUCUAAAAACUUAUCAUUUCUCCGCAAUGCAGUGAUCAUAUUAGUGUAUGUUAUCUUAUCGGGUUCAAUGCCAUUCUCUCUCAUUUCUUUUACCAAUCCUACAGCAUCCUCAACCAUUCCAGCAAUUCCAUAUGCCUUUAUCAAUGUGUUAUAGCUGCACAAAUCAGGUCUGAGCCCACAUUCUUUCAGUUCUGUCAGCACACCUACAACUUCAUUGAUCCAUCCUUGCUCUCCAUAUAUAUCGAUCAUAAUGUUAUAAGUAUAAUGAUCGAAAGUACAACUCGUUUCCUUCAUUCUUCGCAAGACAUUUUUAAAAUUCUCCAUUUGACCUUCUUUGCCGUAGGCAUCCAACAUUGAAUUGUAGGCUUCAAGGGAAACUGAAAAGCCAUCAACUUGCAUUUCCUGAACAGUUGAUGACAUACUCUCUAAGUUCUUAUUUUGACCAUAGGCAGCAAUGAUUGUAUUGUAAGAAAUUACAUCCACUAAACCUAGUUUUUUAGCCAUACUGAAUAAUUUCCUAACCCUCUUGAAUAGCUUAGCUUUUCCAAAAAUGUCAAGCAUGACAUUUAAGGUAAUGAUAUUAGGAGUAAACCCACGCUGAAGCAUCUCAUCGAAAACCCUGGAGAGCUCAUCAGUUGGUAGAGCACGAGCGCAGCAAUUUAUUACACAAUCAAACAACUCCUGAUUCCAAGUGAUUCCACUCUUCAAAAUUUUAUAGUAAAGAUAUGACAACUUAUCCAGCAUGCCACAUUGUUGAUAAAUACGGAGCAUGUCACAGUACAGAUAAACAUCUGGUUCAAUGUCUGUUUGCUUCUCCAUUGUUUCUAAAACAGCGCAAGCAUCUUUCAAAGAUCCAGCUUUUACAUACAUUCUCACAACAACAGUGAAGGCAAUCAAGUCCAAUCUAAUUCCUGAAGAUUUCAAAUUCAGAUAAAGUUUCUCAGCUUCAGUGAACAUACCCAUGACACUGUAAGUGUCAAUCAUUGUGCACAUAAUGUGCAAGUUUGGCUUCCCAUCACAAAUGUGCAUAUGAGAGUAUAUCUUAACUGCAUUAGCAAGAUGACCCGAGUCCUUGCACGAGCAAAUCAACAAAUGAUACAAGUUAUCCUCAAAAACUGUAUCUUUCCAUCUUUUAUCCCCCAAAACUUUCAUAGCAUCAUCGAUCAAUCCAUGUUUCACAUAAGCCAUGACCAGAAUGGAGCAAGAAGUUAGAUUGAAUAAGACAUGUUGAUAGAGCGACCCUUUUAAAAUGCGAGGCACAUUAUCAGUUCUUCCAGCCUUCUCAUAUGCCUGCAAAAGAGUACCAAGGAUGGAGGAAUGUUGGCAGCCCAUGUUCAGCAUAUCAUCAAGGGUGUUAACAGCACCCUCCUCAUCUUCAUAUUUGGCAUGCAAGUUUAUUAGCGUGUACAAGUUAGACGCAUUAGGCUUGUAACCCAAAUGCUUGAGUUCCUUAUAGUACCAUUUUGCCUCCCUGUAAUUUCCAGCUCGACCCCAACCUUCAAUCAUGGAGCGGUAAGUUGUUUCAUCUGGCUCUAAUCCAACAUCCUUAAUGCUCAAAAACAGGCGUUGAGCAGCUUCCAUAUUAGAUACCUUCCCGUACCCAGUCAUUAAUGUGUUGUAAGCAACAAUAUUUGGAGAAAAACCUGCUUCUCGCAUUGAGACCAAUACUAGUUCAGCCUCCUCUAGCUUACCUUGCUGACUAUAAGCAUUAAGCAUCACCAACCAAUUCUCCAAAUUUGGCACCACUUUAUCUUCUCUGAUCAACCUAAUUACUUCUUCAGCUUUUUCAUACAAACUCAAACGGGUAUAGAUUGUAAUCAUUGCUGAGUAAGCAGAUUCACACACAAGUCCCAGCUUUCUCAUUUGGUUAAAUGCAAAUUCAGCCUCCUCAACAUUCCAACUCUUCUUGUAAAGACCCAUGAGCAUGCCAAAGGUGGCAACAUUAGGCUGAACAUCACAUUCCAACAUCAUAUGGAACCAUUUUGCACCCAACUCCACACACCCACGUUUAUUACAUGCAUAAAUAAGCGUGUUAAAAAGCUGAAAAUUCAGCUUAGCGCCCAAACUCAUUCUUACCUCCCUGAUCAUUUUCUCUGCGGCAUCCCAAUCUUCUCUCCUGCUAAACACUCGAAGAACCAAAUUAUAAGCAGUCACAUUCUUUUCCAACUUCCCAUUAGUCCUCAUCCACUCAAAAAACUUCAGACUUUUGCUAUCACUAUACUUCUCAAGCCGUUUCAAUAUCGCAUUACACUCGUCCAAACUCAAAUCAGCGCCAAUAACAGAAUAAUUAACAUCCAAUUCACCGUCGUUCGCAAAAAAGUACUCCCUUUCUUGUUCCCUAGCACUCCUCCUAAACCUAAGACUCAUAUCCACAUCUCUUUUACUCCCUUUUUUCACCCCAUACCGUCCCUUCUUAACUUUACGUGAUACAUUCGAGCAUUCUCCAACAAAAACCUCACUACCCACAUCAUUUUCUAUACCAAUAUCAGUUUCUUUUGAUUCAUUCAUGCUACACAAGUCAGUUUCAGAAGAGGAAACGUUUUUAACAUGCUUGACUCUAUUCGAAGCGGUGACUAUACAAGACAUAGUGAAUGAAAAGAUGGGGAAGUGAUCAGAUAAUUGAGGUGGGUUCGCUGCGAAAUUGAGCUUCCGUGAAUCAACUGUGUCCAAAGAAAUGGACAAAAGUUUCAAAGAAGCCAUUACAACAUCAAAUAAUGAGCAGCUUUAAGUGCAAAUUUAGACUCAGAAGUACUAAAUACCUUGCUGCGUUUGUCCGGAUAACGGAUGUCGAAGCAGCGGAGGAAAAUCAAAGCCUUUGGAUUUCAUGUUUAUGUCGACAAAAUGUGGACCCGACAAAUUUUUUUAAUUUUUCCUUCAGGAUAGGAAUAAAAAUGAUAUGGUAAAAUAAAUAAUAUUACUGUAAACAUGUAUUUUUUCGACUAGAUAAUUAGGCUAAAUCAGAAUACAAUCGACAGUUAAUUAAUAGGCACCCAAUAUUACUGUAAUAUAUCAAUAUUUGGAAAAAAAAAUAAUAAUAAUAUGUUCCGCAUUAGUUCCUUGAAAAAAAAGAACACAGAAAUUAAUAGUUAUAAUUGAAAAAACAAAACUAAAGACUAAUUUCAAUUAUGCGGUGCAUAAUACUUUUAUGGGAUAUAGUUUUCCUAAGAUAAUACUUUCUCUGCUCCUUGUAUGCGUGUCACUGUUUUUUUUUAAUUAAUUAAUUAAUGAUUUUUGUUAUUUGAUUUUUAUUAACGAUUAUUAUGAACUAAUAAUGUUUCAUCCAACCAGUUUGCAACUCAAAAAUUAGUUGUACGGGUUUCAUCAUCACAUUUGAAUAUUAAUAUGGGAUAUUAUCACAUAUUUACUUAAUAUUUUAUGACAUAUCACUUUAUCACCAAAAUUUUCUAAUAAUUACAUUUUAAAAAAAAACUUAAUGUUUCAAUUUCUAUCAUUUUACCAUCCAAUCAUUAAAAAUAAUAGAAUAUUUAAUAGAAUUUAUGCCUUAACUAAUUAAGUGUACAGAAUAAUGAUUUUGUCCUCUAAAAUAAAAGAAAAGAAUUUCCAAAACAAAGAUUUCGGAAAUCAUUUUUUUUUUAUUAUUGUUACCUUAGUUAGUAUUUUAAUAUUGAUAUUUGAUAUCAAACUUAAUAAAUACAUAUAAUCUGCAACAGUAAAUUUAACUGAAACAAAUAAUUAUUUUAAGAAACUAAUUUUGUCAUAAUUUUAGGUGCGUUUGGGAUUGAAGUACUGUAACUUUUAAGCUACAACCGAUGUGGAAAAAAAAGUUAUAACUAUGAAACAAAAGUUAAUAAUAUGUAGUAAAUAUAAAUUUUAAAUAAUAAUUUUGAUAAAAAUAUUAAAUAUAUAAUAGAUUUUUCAUAAUACAAGUGAAAAACCACAUCAAAAUAACUUCCAAAUUACAGCAGAUAGUGUUUACCAAACAUUUUAGUGUUGUAACUUUUAAGCUACUGCUACCCAACCUCAAU